rnacentral:lncRNA from 1 species
CUAAAAUAUCCUAUCAAAAAGGAGGGAGUCUACUAUACACCACUACAUCACGUUAUUUAUAUUCAAUCAAUCACAUUUAUUUUUUUUAAAAUAUAUGAUAAAAAUAUUUUUUUCAAAAUCAUGAUUGGACAGGUGAAUUCCACAGAAGUAAUUUAAUUUUUUGGAGACACAAUAUCAGUAAUAUGAGUGCUGCAUCCUAGAUUUUUUUUUUCAUUAAAAAGGUUUUACUUUUCAUGGAAACUGACUACAAAAUAGGAAUGCAAAUGGAUCUGAGUUUAUAGAGCUUCUACUUUAAUUCACUCAGAAUAAAAAAAUAAUCAAGAGUUAGGGAAAAAGAAGAAAAAAAAAAAAAGCCUGCUCCGAAUGAGUCUUGAUUCGCGAAAUAGAACUGUUGGUGGAUCGAUCCCUUCCACCUCUCGAUUCGCUUCUCUCCUGAUAUAAAAAAAUUUACUAUUUUCUAACUUGUCUCUAUAAUAGGAUAAUAAGUCAGUGCGAAAAAUAAUAAUAAAAAUAAAUAAUCUGCCAUGAACCCACUCCUACCUGGUGAAAAAAAAUCCAAACAAAGGUAGGGGACUGUACCUAUGCCCGAUCAUCUGCCUUAUACAUAAAAAAUUUUAAAAUACAUCAGUUAUAUUAAUAACAGAGUAUUUUCAACUAGUCAAAUAAAUUAUUUUAAAUUAAUCUAGCAUAUCAUAAUUCAAAAAAAAUUAUUAUAUAUAUUUUUUAAAAAAUAUGAUUAAUCUAUUAUUGCUGCUUAUGAUGCAAAUAUGAUACAAUAGAUUAAGAUAUAAUAUCCACCGUUUCUAGAACAAAUGGCAAAAGGCUUGAUGAUUUGUACCCCGGAUUCAAGUUCAAAUUUCAAUUAAUUUAUAUUUUCAACUAAAUUUAUUUAUAAAUAAAAUAAAUAAAACGGAUAGCGUUUUACGUAUCUCUCGAAAAAAAAAACAAUAGCUGGUAAACUUUACCAGAUCAGAGAACCCCACUUUUUCCAAUUUUCCUCUUUUAACUCCAAGAGCGAGAGAGAGACAGAGAGAGAGAGAGAGAGAGAGAGAGAGGAGAGGAUUAUGGAUCUCUCGGGCUUAUCUUUCCAAAAAUUCGUCGACUUCGCUCUCGACCACACCAGACUCCGCACCACCCUCACCCCUCAUCUCCCCUCCCAGGUCACUCUCUUUCUCUCUCUUCUCAUAUGCUUCAAUCUCUUUAAACGCCUUUUUUUCAGGAGAAAUUUUGUAUAAUAAUUAUCUCAUUUAUCGCAUCACCUCUGUUUUCUAAAUUUUUUUUUUUUUUUUUUUUUUUUUUUUUUUUUUUUUUUUUUUUUUUUUUUUUUUUGUGUGUGUGUGUGUUUUGUUUUGCUUAGAAGUUCAAAUCCAUCAAGGCCAAAGACGGCAACAAGGCCGUUCUCACCGCGCUUUCAUUCCAGUCCCCCAAAAUUAGACUCCUCCGCAGUUUGGCGAUCGCAGAUGAUAAUGCGAUGCGGGUAAGCCUAAAACACCAUUUUUUUCCCCAUUUGAUCUGAAGAUUAGUCCUACAUGUAACCUAUAAUAUAAUAGGGCUAAACUCUUAACUGGGCUUAAAUAUUUUGGGCGGUGGUUAGACCCAAGAGGUUAAGAGAUGUAGUAGAACGAGAGUAGUCCUAGCAUGGGUGACCUCCUGAGAAGUCGGGGCAUUACAGUAAACCCACGAGAACUCUUCUAUUUAUUGAUGCUCUUAGCAUUCCCACUAUAUUUCAAAAUUGGUGGUGAUCUCGACAGGUUCUCGACUUCGGAGUAUUCCCUGAACCGGAGUACGAUCUGCCGAUAUUUUGCGCCAACUUUUUCGCCACCGCUAGUCGGAGUAUCGUGGUUUUGUAAGUUUCAUCACCUCAAUGAGCUGAUAUUUAUCAAUUUGAUGCCUCUUUAUCAAUAAAUUAAUGCUGCUAGAAGAUGAAUUAUUAUUCAGUGUGUUUUCUUUCUCUUGCUUAUUAGAAUCUUCAUAAAGUAGUUUAUUUGGGGGUUUGUAGGGACCUUAACCCCUUGUAUGAUGUCACUGUACAAAGGGAUUACAAGGAGAAGUACUUUAAGAAGUUAAUGCCCCUCGGCCAGAAGUACGCCGAGGUAUCAAAAUCCUUCUUUUGCUACCGAGCACGCGCUCGCUAUGUUCGUAGAGUGUUACUAUUUUUAGCUAGCUUCGUGUUUUUAAUAGAGAGAAUGCAGCUUUUCCCAUGGGGAGGCAAGAUUACGAGCGAGUCCAUGAAGUUUUUCUCGCCAAUCGUGAUUUGGACUACGUUCAGCACUAGCCGCGACAAGCAUGAUGACCUAUAUUCAGCUUUCGUGGACUACUAUAAGGUACAGACUCGGUUACUUAUAUUUAGCACCGGCGAAAGUUCGUUCAUUACUGGGUUAAAUAUCGCGCUCAAACUUCUCGCUCCAGCUGUUUGAAACCAGGCGAGAAAAACCUCGUUGAUCCUGGAUUUCAACCGACUUUGAAAAGAUUACAUACUAGUCGUCGCGGAGUUUUGUAUAGCUGAGGCAUGCCAUUUGCAACAUUGACCUUAGAAGCCCAUAGUAUCUGUUACCGAUCUUUGAGUAGAUAAAUUUUAACUUCGGAUGUAAGCAUUAUCUGAAGAAAAUGUUAUUGUGUAAUUUCAGAGAAUCUUGUUUGGAUUGAGUUUAAGUUCCUUGGAUUGGAUUUAUGUCUUUGUUUUUUCUCCUUUUCUUUUCUUGUUUUAUCUCUUGCUACGCUUUGAGUUCUUUUACCCAUGUUCUAUUGAAAAAUGUUCAGAUAACUGUGAACCGUAUAUCAUUUCAAAUAUUUCUGGGACUGUAAAUGUUUGAGUAUUGGUACCUACAUUUUUCAUUGUUUUUGACUGCAGUAUGUGUCUGAACUUGCACAGGCAUGGCUUGAGUUGAUGGAUGAAGCAGUGGAAGAAAAAGAUGUGCCUCAGAUACUCCAUAAUCGUGAAGCACAGCACAAGUAUCUCACAUGGAGAGCAGAAAAGGUUCUUUUAAUUGCCGCUUCAACCUUGAAACCCAUAAUAAUUUUAUAAUAAGUGUCAUUUGCUCCCAAAUCUGGGAAGCGGUUCUCAGAAGAUAAAAGUCGCUGAAACUUCAGAGCAUUCAGAAUACUAAAUAUUUCAUUUACUCAUGCUUUUGUGGACAAUUAUCGGUUUCAAGUCCCCUCUUUAUGUUCAUUUCAUGAUUUUCCUGAUAAUUCUGUUCUCAAUAAUUUCAAUCUCCAUCAUCAAAUUGGCUUAUUAAUUUGUGAAAUUAUUUAAACUCAAUUUGUCUUCAAUAAUGUGUUACCUGGCUAACAUUUAGCCAUACAACAGGAUCCUGGAUAUCCACUCCUAAAGAAGCUGGUCGGAGAGAGUCUUGCUAAGGUACCUUUAUCAAUAUAUAUAUAUAUAUAUAUAUAUAUAUAUAUAUACAUAGAGAGAGAGAGAGAGAGAGAGAGAGAGAGAGAGAGAGAGAGAGAGAAAUACCUUUGUCAAUGUUGUGAGGAAGAGCAUAGGGCCUGUGUCUCCUGGCAGAAGCUUUUGAAAAAGUGUCGUUCGAGUAGAGCUGCACAAAAGAGCUAAUAACUUUUUGACUUAUUAGAAAUGAAUUAAUAACUUUUUCACAAAAGAUCGAAGCCUAGUUAUUUUACAUUUCCAACUAAGUUCAUUUCUUAAGAAAAAUGGAGGAAGCGAGUAGUAUGCUAUUUUUCUCCAAAAAAAGAAAACAUUUUCAUUUAUAUCACCAAACAAUAUUCUAUUAUAUUAGCAGUGGAAAUUUCAAAUUAAACUUUUCGCUUUUGGGCAUGAUAACUCAUUUAGCUUUCCACGACCUUUUGUUUCCAAAGGGCUCAAGAAUAGAUAAGUUAUUCUAAAAGCUAGGCCAAACAGGUGCAUUACUUUAUAUCUUUGUUUGCUCGUCGUUGCUUUCAACCUGUUGGCUUAUUGUGAUUGUCGAUGCAUUAGGAUUUGGUGCGGAACUUCUUAUUCGAAGGAGUUGACACACUGGGCACCAACACAUUUUUGGAUUACUUUCCUGAAUAUAGAUGCGAAGACGGGGGCGUAAACCAAAAGCGGAGUAUGAUCGGAAAGUCCUACGAAACUCGGCCAUGGGAUGCUAAAGGAGAAUUCACAGGUGGGUGAACUCACUUUGCUGUAAAAUUUUGCUCUUCGCAGUUUUGUACUGAUAUUGUGAUGCUUUGUCCCCGAUUUUUCGUAGAAGUUCUGUAGAUUAAAAGUCUCCAUGUUCUUCAUGUAAAGCCAUCUUCCCAUCUUGGUACCUUUUUAAUCUCUUUCGGCCCCUUUAUUGUUGGUAAUGUUUGUGGAAAAUUGUUAGCUUAUAAAAGAUGAGACAAUUGUGUCAAAUAAUGUUUAGGAGGCAUGCUGUAUUCUCAGCUGAUGAUUUACAUCUAUUGAUCUUAAAUUAUCAUAGUAGGGGUCAGAAAAUCCUUUAUGUUGGAUCAAUUUAUGUCAACACUGCUUAAGUUUGAUUUAAAUUUAUUUGCAAUGGCAAAUUGGCAACUUCUUAUUGCAAAUAAAGAGAUUUACAUAUCUACAGAAAAAUCAUGUACCUCUUAUGAGAAGUAAAAGUCAGAAAAAUGGAAUUAUAGUAGUCAACCAUGAAGUUUGGUUCAUCCAGGGGUUCAAUAAUAAAUAGAUUAAAAAGUAAAAAUGGGUUAGUUGAAGUAACUGGAAAUUUUGCUCAACUAUGUGGAUGCUUUUGCUUUUGAAGGUUCUAGAACCAGAUAUGUAGGAAAAUUAGGGCUAUUGUGAUCUUGUGUGGAUGCACCACCUAACAAUUUUUAGUUCCAUGUGCAAGUAAGACAAAAUGGUCCAACAUAAAAGACAAACUAAUAGGAGAAAAGACACUCUAAGUUUCAUCAUACCAAACUGUACUCCCUAAUCCUUGAAUCCUUGGGAAAAAAAAAAAAUGAUUCAAUUAAUUGUUUUGUAAGAGUGAAAUCACUUCACUGAAGCUAUACCAAAUGUGUUACUCAAAACCAGAUGAAAUUUAAGAUCUGUUGCGCGAAGUUGGAGCUUAUACAAAAGUGUUAUCCUCUUUGACAAAAUACAUUUUAUGUAGUCGAUUUUACGUAAAUGUUUUAUGCUACUCAAUUGAAUUUCUUUUUUCUUUUUUUUUCUUACCAUAGUGAAAACUUUUUGGAGUUUUAGCUUGUUGAAUAUUUUACUGUUAUUUUCCAACUCUUAAGCAUAGUAAGAUUAUUAUGCUUUUAAUUUUUGAAUCUUUUCUUAGUAAAUGGGACCACAUUAUCACGUGGGUUAAGGAGGAUAUACUUAAGAAUACGACAACAAGAUUUGUAGAACAGAGUACCAUAAUUAAUAAAUAAAUAGCUGUUUAAGAAAAGCUUGAUUUAAAGCAAGGAAUAAUAAUAAUAAAAAAAUCGAACCAUAGCUUAUAACAAGUGAUUAUUGCAAGGUUCAAUGGAUCCAUAGAUUUUAUACUCAUCUAUUGAUGGACUAUCCCUUUUCUCUUUUGUGUUCUGAUUAAACUAGUCAAAAGCUUGGACAAAGGCAUGUUCUUCAUUGAUAAUACAUUUUUACUCCUUUUCUUUUUCCUACUUGCCAAAAUAUUUUAUUAGUUUGGGAACAUAGUAAGUAGUUCUAAAGGCAAUAAGGCAUUGAUCACACAUGGAGCUUUGUGCCAACUACAUUAAUUAAUUAAUUAAUGACUUGGGAUAGUUGGCACCAAAGUUCUUUCUCCUGCUCCACAUCUAAAUUCAGUUAAAAAAUUUAUUGAACUAGUGACCGUAUCCAGUGCAGUUGAUUAAAAAUAAAAAUAUGAUCACGCGAAUCAUUCAAAAUUAUUUUGUAAUAAAGCUCAUUAAAGCAAAUGAUUAAUCAUUAAUCAAGUAACUUGCUUAUUAUGAUUUCACUUUUAUUUCUUCUUUUAACAACACAAACUUUAGAAAGAACUUGCAGGAAAAAGGAGGAGAAAAGGCUAGUGGUUUGGCAUCACUGUAAAUUGAAAUGGCAUUUUGAAUCUCAAACAAAGAAACUCUAUUGCAAAAUGAAACUACAGUAGUACUUUUAGCACAGUGCUUCUCAUAUUAUUACUUAAUGAAAUUAUACUAAACAACACGAUCAGUACAUGUAAUCGUAUAGUUACAUUAAACAGGCUCUUCAAAUACUUGGUCCAAAUCGUAUAAUACACAAAGAUUCCGAGAGAAUAUUCCAGUUCCAAUACGUGGCAACAAAACACGCGACAACAGCAAUAACAUAGAACGAACCGUAUCCAGAUUCUAGUUUUUUUUUUUUUUUUUUUUUUUUUUUUUUUUUUUUUUUGAAGUGAACAAGUAAAAUUUCUCUUAGUUGUAGCGCAAAAUGUGUGGAUAGUGACUCAAUUAUUCUCCUAUCGCAUUUGGACCCAAAGUACUUUCCGGUCAUUAUUUUAAACUUGGGGACUACAUACAAUGUAUAACUUUUGCAGGCUCUGUGUAAAAUUAGAGAGACGUGUUUUACUUAUUUUUGGUCUAAGAGUUUAUUUGGUUUACCUAUUUUAAAUCGUAAAAUUAGAAUGAAAUUUAUUAAUUUCAAUAAUUAGUGUGCCGAAAUUGAAUUUUGAUUUUCAUUUUACUCUGAAAUGGAAAUGAUCAAAUCUAGUUAUAGUCCUACACAGGUUUAAAUUCUGAUUUCAAAAUUCUCUCUAACAAACAUCUCUAUUUGCUCUUCAUUUAUUACUUUCCUCUCCCUUAAUAAAAAUUUUUUAGAAAAAUUCUGGAUGUUCCAUUUAUUCAUUUUGAUUUUUAUUUUAAUAAUAAAUUAAAUAUUUUUUGAUAAUUCGUAAUUUUAUUUUUCAUUUUAAUACAAUUCAAUUUUAUCUUUCAUUCUUAUUUCAAUCAUGAACCAAAUAUGUCUCAAUUGUUUAUGGCUAGUUUAUACGGAGUGUAAUAUAAAGAUAUUGCGAGGACUAUUUAUACAUUAUCCCCCUAUGUUUAUGAUUUUGUAUUUUUGUAUUUGUUUAUUGCAGCAAACGGACAACGACUUUGGCGCGUUGAGCUACGAAUUUUUUGUUUUAUGUCGAUGUUAUUGGAUUUAAUAGAUUCCUUUUAUAAGAUUAAGUAACUUAAAUUACUGCUUUUUAAAAAAAUUUACUUUUUAUUUUCAAAUUAGAUAAAUGUAUUUGUGUGGACCCAGCAAUGAAUAUUAAAUCUUUUGUUACCAUUUGGAUCUGCACUUAUGAAAUUAUUUAAUGUAUAGUUAUAGUACCGAAUUUGUCAUCUGUACCAUUUGAAGCGUUAGUUCUAUAUUUUAGUUUAAAAAUAUUUACAUAAACUUACUGAUAAUAUGAUUUAUAAUAUUAAUAUGUACACAUAAUCGAUUGCUUGUUUAUUCUGAUCUGAUGCGGCGUGUAAAUGCAGGGAAAAUGUAAUCGCAAUAGAUUUUGAGUUUUGUUUAAUAUUGCGAGAAAUAUUGUCGGAUUUUCGGUUCUCCGUUUGUCGGUCUGAGCAAAUAUGAUUUUGAGUUUCAAAACCGAAUUGGUUCAAUUUGGAUUUCAGAUUUGAGUUUCAUCUAUUAUGUUUGAGCGAGUUCAAAAUAUUUUAAAAAUCAAACCUCAUUUGAAAAUACCAACAUAAUAACGUGAUAAGCACUCUACCAUACAGAACACCAUGUAGGUAUAUAUAACAAGUGCAAAUGAAAAAGAAAUUAUGAAAAUGUUCGUUAUUAUAUAUAAUAUCACAUUCCGCACAUCAUAAUUAAUCGAUUAUAAUAUAUAUUUUUUUUAUAAUUUUAUUGAAAAACAGAGAAGUGUAUUUUUACAUAUUUUUGCUCUAAUCUUAGUUUAUUUAUAUGUAUUAGAUUAAUCUCAAUAUCAAACGGAUACUUAGCUGGUAAGCAUAAUUUAAUGUCACUAUCUUUGUUCCCAAUACACCAAUUCGCGCAGACCACAGAUGUAAACAUCUGAUCUUGAUUGCUGUUCCUGCUAAGCUUUUAAUUAUUUACCCUAAACAUUGCUGUCGAAGUCACUGUGGCUUUAUCAAAUCAAUCGUGUCGGAAACUACAACGUGUUGAAUUUGAUUCAAAGUAAUCUACAAUGAACAAGACAAAUUAUAACUUAUUCAAUAUUAUCGCCAUCAAAUUAUUGAUAUAUAUAUCAAUAGUAAGAUACCAGAUGAGAUCAUUGAAAGAGGGUCUGAUCCCAACUACAUUGUAGAUAAAACAGUAGUUUAAUUUAAAGAGUUUUAUUCUUUUCGGUGGUUGUGGACAUUCUCUGUGCACUUAAAUUUUGUGAAUAAAUAUUUGAGUGUUAAUACAAUGUAAUUAAAAGCUAAGGAUGCACCACUUUGAUCUUGUGUGUAUAUUAUCGGAUAAUGUACCACGAGUAUAUAUAAAUAUAUUUAUAUACUAGACACAAUAGAGACUUGGGAAAUAGGUUUUUUAAGAACAAAAAAUAUUUGGAAAAGUUGACUCUUAAUGCGCGAAGAGUACAUUUUCGUGUUUUACAUGCGAAGGUGUGAUUACGGCGAAGACGUGCCAUGGUGAUCUUCUUAUCUCAUGAGACUUUAUCAAAUUUGGGUGUUUCACAUUUUUUGAAUAUGGAAACUAACUUUAUGUCCAAGCAUGAAUGUGCCCCACUUGUUGUGCUUCAUAUUCUACAAUAGCAAUUUUUUUUUUUUUAAAAAAAAAGGGACUUGUUGUGUUUGGUUUUGUAGCAUUUCUAGCGCAAUAAAUCUCCGUGUUAAUAAACCCUACUUAGAUCGACCAUUUCUAACACAAAUAACAAAGCGCUUAAUGCAUGGUUCUUUCAGAAUAAACCCUACUUGAGCUAGGAUUCAAUUUCUACCUAAUUUUUUUUAACCGUAUGAACAGUAUCCGAUCCGACCCCGAUCCGACCCUGAUCCGAAUAGGUAACGUCAUUUUUAUGGCUUAUAAGACAUUUAUUAGACAAUGAUGUGUGGGUAAGAUGGACUCUGGAAUUUUCCAGUAACGCGGAGAAUUUUUGACUCUUGCUCGAUGCAACAGCUGUGAGGAAUAUGACUCGUACGAUCGGGUCCAAAUUUGUUCACUCGAUUAUUGUUGUCUCUCCCUUUGGUGCACCCAACUUAAGUUGUUAGACCCAUAGCUCAUUUAUUAUUAAAUUAUUAUUUUUGUCCACAGAAUAAUUUUGGUCCACAAUUUUGGUACCCUUUAGAGCUGUAAAAAAGUAGGGGAUUUUUUGCUUUGGUGUUUAUUAUUAUUAUUAUUAUUAUUAUUAUUCGAAUAAAAUAUUGUAGGCACUUUGCUUUGUUACAGAAAAUUUGAAGCAAGCAUGGACUGGAUGAGAUUGCAGAAUAAAUUUUUAGCUAGAAAAUGUAUUUUAAUAUUAUAUAUAUCAUGCCAAUAUACUACUUUAGAAAGAUGUAACAUAUUUUUUAAUUAAAAAAUUUUCAAAAUUAUUUGUCAGGAGAGUUAAUUUCUAUGAAAAUAGAGACACAUUCUUUCGCAGCAAAGUAAAUGAAAUUGACUACUUUUGGAUGUUUCCUAUGUUAUCAUUUUAGAGAAACUACAUAUGAAAUUAACCCCUCUGUUACUCUCUCUCUCUAGAUCUCUCUCUCUUUUGUAGGGAGUUGUUUGGUGUUUGUGGUGUGGAAUCAUCAAGUAAGCAGGAACAUGCAUGGUCUCCUUUGUUUUUUUUUUUUGGUCUUUUGCUUUUGCUUAUUGUUAUUGGUCUUUGCUACUUGUCCCUUUCUAUGUCUUGUUGUUUUUUUUUUUUUUUUUUUUUUUUUUUUUUUUGAUUAUAUAAGGAUACAUCCAAUUUGAGCAGGAGAUACAAUAGAGAAAAACAAUAGGAGGGCAGAGAAGGACCAUGCAUAGCGAUGGGCCUUACCAUUCAAACUUAGGGGCAAAUACAGUGUAGUUGAAGAUAUAUGCAAUUGAAAAUAUAGUAAUUGUACUCACAUGCAUCAUGUUUGGUUGGAUGUAGUAGAAAGCGCUGCAGCUAUAAAUAGUUUGUUUGGUUACAUAUAAUUGAAAAAUAAUUUUUAGAAUUUUAUCAUUUCAUAUAUAUGAUCGUGUGAUUGUCUCCUAUACAAAAAAAAAGAAAAAUAUUUUUUAUUUAAAAAAUAAUUAAGGAGGUAAGUAUAUUUUUUGUUUAAAGUUAUUCUUUUCAACUGCUACAGUUGGAUCUCUUCCCGCAGUUCUUACUACAAGAGUUGGAGUUAAAUACACUAAGCCAAAUACCGAAUUUGUAUUUGUAUGUAGUUAUAACUACAUUACAAUUACAACUGCAUAUAACCAAACAGUCCGUAGUGAAACGACCAACUGUGAGUAUUCUAUUUCUAAAAGAAAUCCACAAUAAAAAUCUUGACAGCGAAGAGGUGCCUUUAGUUUUCAAAGAAAACAAGUCAUGCAGUACUUGACUCCCCCAAAAUUAGAAAGUUGUGGGCAAUUGCCAAUCACAAGUUCCCACUAACAUGCCAUCUCCAAAUGAAAUGAGCGAGUCAUAGGAAUCGGACAGGGAGGUGGUGGUUAAUAUAUACGAAGCACAACUCCCUUCUCAUGUUGUACAAAUUUUAAAUCAUGUACGUUAUUAUUCUCAGAAGAAAAUUUUCACCUAACACGUAACUACUGUUUUUUUUUUUAUUUUUUUUUGAGAGAGAGAGAGAGAUAUAGGUAGCAUGCUAUCUGUUUCGUUUAUUUUAUUUAAAAAUAAAUUUAGCUGGAAUGAAUUAGGAUUCGAAUUUAGGUCUCGGAUACCAACCACAAAGUCUUUUGCCAUUUACUCUAAGGACGAUCGGUAAUACACAACUAUUGUUAGAAAAAUAUUUAACUGUUUCACUUCGAGCGUACAUAGAAAAUUGUAACACGCGGUUUGGAGGGAGCAAAAAGGAGAGAAAACAAAAGAAAAAGAAAAAGAAAAAGAAAAAGAAUAUUUUUUCCCUCAUUUGGAUUGAAACUUGAGAAGAAAAAAAGAGAAAGAAAUGGAGAGAAAUGACGAACUAUGUUCUCAUUUUUUAUUUCCUUAGUCUAAACGACAUGAGAGAUAAUUAUUAUAUUAUACAUAUUCCUUUUCUUUUAUCUUCUUGUUCUCUCCAUCCAAAUAAAGCAUAUAAAUGAGUUUGACGAUUGAAAAAAAAAGAAAAAAAAAGAAAAAAAAAAAAGGGGCAUGGUGCACCACCGUCCACUCCACUGUACGGGCCGGGCUGUGCUAGAUCAUGGGCCGAGUUGGCGCGGCCCAAUACGGACCAUGGAAUGUGGUGGUUAACUAACUAAAAAUAAAAUAAUUCACAAUAAACUUUAAUUUGCACCCCUGUUGUUUGAUUUAUUUUUUAUUUUUUCUCUUCUCGUAUAGUUCAAAAUGAUUAUGCUUAAUUAUUAUAUAAUUAUUAAAUAAAGUUAAUUUAUUAUUCUAUUUGAUCUUAAAUUUCUUUUAGUAAAAGAUAGAAAUAUAAUCAUAAAGUGUGUUAAGUGUAAUUUUUUAAACUAUAUGUUAGCAAAAUGAAAAUGAAACUAAAGUACAGUGUGGGCAAAUUGAAGUUUACCAAAUAAUUUACAACUCAUUAUGGUUCGGUUACGGUGUAUUCGUUAUAUACCCGACCCGCACCCGAAUAUCUCGCUCACCAUCAACACCUCAUCGAAGAAGCUAUACGGUCCCAUAUAGCGUUUGUAGGAAAAGCCACCGACUCGGAGCUAGGGUUUCUUCAAAGGUUAGAGUUAGGGUUAGGGUUUUUUAAGAGAUCGAUAUUGCUAGAGUUUUGCUUCUAAUUUGAGCCUUUUCCCCCAAUUUCUACUGUUGUUGAUUGCAGGAUUCGUCUCUCCACUCCUCCAAUGGCGACGGAGACGAAGCCCGCGGCGUCCGAGGACGCGAAGAUCGACCUUUUCGAGGACGACGACGAGUUUGAAGAGUUUGAGAUCGACCAAGGUGAAACUUUUUUUCUUUUUUUUUUUACAUCGCAAUUGCUAGAUUAUCGACUUGGUUUUUUUUUUUUUUUGGUUAAAUUUAUCAAUAUUCGAUUAGGGUUUGUUUGAUUCAAACUUAGGGCUUGCGUAAAUUAAAAGUUAUAAUAUUUCAUGCAACGAAUUGCUGCACAAUAACGGGAGAGCAAUAUUAGUAAUUUAGUUGCUUAUUGAUGUGAAUACCCUAACCCUGCCCUUGCCCAAGGGUGGUGAACAAGAAGUGCCAUUGCGUUUGAGAGUCCGACGCAUCACAUGGUAUUGCUAAAUAUAGGCCUCUUUUUGUUAUUAAAUCUUUGGUAUUACUCUUUUUACGGCAUUUUAGGGCAUAUUCUAAUUGAAAUAAAUUACUGCAAUCAAAGUUCUGAUAGUAGAAGCUUUAGUUGGAUUGCAAGAGAUUUGAUAUUCCAAGUUUUGAGCACGAUCGAGUUCUCGUUAGUUAUCGUUAGUAAAUUGUGAUUCAGAGUAAAUUGCUUAACUAAUAAUCGAUUAAAUUAGUGGCCAAUUUAGUUUUGGCUUGUUUAUAUCUGAAUUUUUAUUUAGCUGUAUCAAAUAUUUAGUUGAGUGGGGGUUCUUGGGUCAGAUUUAAUCAAGGUUAUGUUUGGGCAUGCGUGUGGUUUCUUGGGUUUUGUUUGAAAGUAAAUACAAUUGUUUUGGCCUAUGUCACAAAUUUGACCCAUGGAUGACCUACCAUCAACUUGUACCCUAGACAACAACAAUAUGGGGGGGGUUUGUUCACUUCUUUCUGUUUAUAUCAGUACAAAAAACCUGUGUACAGGACUUUUUUUUUUUUUUUUUGUUAUGAACGAAAAGAUAAGGUAAAUAUUGUUUUUACUGCAUUCACCCUCAUAUCUUAGUUGUUCUUGAACGGUUGAGGUAUCAGCAUAUCUUGAAGCGCUUGAUCUGUCUGACAAUGGCAGGCACACAGUGGUGAGGAGUAUUGUUGGCUGUAUAAAAAACUGAGCUGCUGCUUUAGUUUUGUUUCUCCUUUAUUUUUUUUUCUUUCCAACUUGCUUCUGAGGAUAAUUUUAGUUAUGCUAUUGAAUUGUUUUGCUGUUUACUUUGUAGAGUGGGAUGAAAAGGAAGAAGGUAAAGAAACUACACAGCAGUGGGAGGAUGAUUGGGAUGAUGAUGAUGUUAAUGACGAUUUCUCUCUCCAGCUUAGGAAAGAGUUGGAGAGCAAUUCCGAGAAGAGUUAAAGUUGCGUGGAGCAGCAUCUAAGCUAUGCAAGAAGGAACUAAUACCAACUAUCCUGCUGUUACUGUUUUUUUGUUUCUCAUCUCCAAAGAACAUUUGAAGAGUCUUUCAAAAUAUUUCCAAGUACUUUGUAUGGGAUUAGUGCUUUGAUUUGGCUGGUACCUUAUGUGACAGUAUACAUUGUUAUGAUAUUGUGGUAGCUACAUGUGGAUCGUUUUAAAAUGUUUAAUUUGUUAUGUAUGUCCAUUUGAGGUGAGAUUUAUUGUGGUUUGUUCUUGCAACCCACACAAUGUCAUGGAGUGCGUAUUUAAACUUUUGAACCUCGGAGGCAUUAACAUGUCUACAUUAUCAGGUUAAUAAUUGAUAAGGCGAGUAACAACUGAAAGAGGUGGACUUAAAAUUUUUCGCGUUUCUUUGGUAGGACGGGUAGUGGUAGGUUUCUCCAUUGUUGGAUUUACAAGUUAUGAAGUCCUUUAUAUUUUCUGUUUAUUUUAAUAGAAUAGAACACUGGAAGAACACAUACACAAAUGCCUGCGGGAAAAAAAGAAAAGAAAAGCGAAAAAAAAGUUAAAACUUGGAAAGUGACCAGAAUUUCACAUUUUUUUCGUUUUCGUUUUCUGAUACCUCCCUGCAGUAAUUGUUUGUGGCUUAUCACUCAAUGAGUAUCAAUGGACUCGUAUUAACCAAAUCUUCAAAGGCAAAAUACUUGUCAUCGCGUUAACCCGAAUACCGUAUAUUACUUUUCUUACAAUACUUUUCUUACAAUAAUGUCUCACAAUGAGAUUGAAUCAGAACAAGAAUGCAAGGCCUUUUUGAAUAGGAAUUAUUAGAAUGUGCAGAUAUUAAUAUUAGCUAUGUACUAAUGGCCUGCUUCUAAUUCUUCAGGGUAUGUGAUGCAUAUUCUGUAGUCCUAGUCUUCUCUGAGCAUCCUCAAAUAUCUCUGUUAGAUACUGCUUCACUCCAUUAUCAGCAAAAACAUGCUCAAUCGCCUUCCGAGCUAGCUGAAGCAUGUCACCCUUGUUGAGCCCUUGGGUGCACAAAACGAAUUAUAAAUAGGAAUCACAACUAGUUAAAAUAUAAUGUCUUUCGCCAGUUAUAAAUAAUUGCAAAGAGUUAAAACAAUGUCUUUUACCAAAUGUCACGGCAACAAGGUAGUACUCAUUCGACAGGCUUGUAGAGAACAGACCCGGAUCGUCGGUGCACAGGACCAGUGGGUGCUGUGCCUUGUACAGAUCAACUGCAUAUACAGUAUACUAGCAAAAACAUAUUAACUUUGACUACGUGCUUUUACCCACUUUUUAACCUCUCUGUUUCUGUUUUCACAACUUUGCACCAGAUUUUUGCUUCUCAGACAAAACUGCCCAUUAUUCUAGUUCUGAUCACAUGAUAUGGGCACCGAACGAGUAGUAGAGGGAUUUAAAAGGAUCUGGCACAAAUUUGCGAAAACAGAUAGAGGCCCUGAAGUUGCAAAAGAGACGAAAAGAAACUAUUGUUGUUGGGUUUUCUUUUUCUUUUCUUUUUUGUGAAGGGGACAUGGAAAACGAACCAAAAUGAUGAAAUUCCACAGAAGGAACUCUCUCAGUUCGGACAUUAGAUGUCAAACAUAUCUCAACCUACAAGAAUUGUAAAUCAGACCACGGGAAAAAAAAUGAUUGAAAUUCAUCUGACGGCAAUCCAGGAAAAUGAAAAAGAGAGCAUUGAACAAGAAUGAAAUAUAAUCACCGGAAUCUUUAGUGACUUGAGCCUUCUCCAUUCUUCGUCUUCAAGGCAGCAAACAUGGCCCAUUCUUUGAGGAAAGAAGUCCAGCAUUGCUUGGAUCUCUUUCCUGUUAGGUACCUACAAACACCAAAUAUUCAAAAGAAAAGCAAAUUGGUUACAAAGUCUUACUUUGGAUUCUUAUCCAUUGUAUUAGGAAGGCUAAUUACAUAUCCAUAAUAGAUCUUUAUCGAGAGACCUCUCUGCAGUGGACAGUAAUAGGGCAAGGAUAAUUAUAUACAUAUAUAUAUAUAUAUAUAUAUAUAUAUAUAUAUAUAUAAAAUAAAUCUUUGUUCAGAGACCUCUCCACAGUGGAUGGUAAUAGGGAGUCCUAAAUCCUUGGCAUGCUUUAGAGCCGGGAGGAAGGUCUCCCUACAAAACAAUGUAUACAAAAGAAGAGAUUACAAUAAUAUACAUAUGUUUAAAUAUUCUAUUCAAAUCGAAUAGCCAUCACAUAUCUGUACUCAAAAGAAAAAAAAAGAAACUAUAAAAUUUUACCACUGCCCAAUAACAGGAUUGCCAGAAAGAUCGAUACCAACCACCCCAAAAUCCUUCAUCUCUCUUGCCAAGUCAAUCUGCAAAUUUUAUGAAUUCAAAGCAGUGCAAAAGGUGACUAGGUAAAGAAUUUAUGACAAAAAACUGAAACAUCGAAGAGAGAGAGGAGCUGACUGAGGCCCCAUACAUACCGUCUCCAUUGCUGCUUCAGUAGUCUCACGACGGUCAAUACUUAGAAGGAGACGGAUAAAAAUUCGUUUUCUCUCUAUCUUGCCAUGUGUACUGCUUGAAACUGCAGAUUCGAGACAGUUCUCCCUGCUCGAGUUGAUGAAAGCAACAUCGACAGUAUCAACAGAUCUUAGACCAUCAAUUACUGCUUUCAUGUAGGAGCGCUUGGUCAUCCCUUUAGCUUCAUUUUUCUGCAAGAUUACAAAACCCGCAAUAUUGAAAUGCACACACAUAGUCCAUUUUGUUUCAUAUAGUUCAUAAAAAAAGUUGAAUAACACACAUCAAGAAUACCUUCGGAGUUGUUCUUAGCUCUAAAUAGACGACAUUUUCAGCUGCAAAAUCUUCAACAACCUUUUCUCACAAUACAAUGAGUCAAAAGACUUAUUACUAUAUUUUGAAUUCCCAAGAAAAAGCGCAGUGGACAUACUUCUUUAGUGAUUCUUGUUACUGUUUCAUGGUCAGUUGUAAGUAUGUGAUACAAAUCAAAAAGCUGGAAGCACUCUGGCAAUGAUCUACCAUCUGCAUCGAAAAGAUACAAAAGAAUGGAUAAAUUGUCAACUUAGAUUCGGUUUUUUUUCAUAAAAUUAACAAAAUAGUCAACUCUUUAUCUAUCUGAAAGUUACUUAUUCUGAUUGAUAAGUAACAAUUUAUCAAACUUAUAAGCACGACGUGAAAAUUGCUAACUUGUUUUGUUUUCUAUUAGUGAUGACACUCGCACCCGUUGACUGACAGUACUUGCAGAUAAUAUAAUUUAAGACCUAAGCAAUACAAUAGAGAGUAAAAUGCUUAAAUACAAGUUGACCAAAAGAAUUAUGUUUUCUCUUACUCACUUUUCAUGAUUACAUGUUUUACGUCUUCAAAAACGAUGACCCCCUUUUCACCCAGCCCUUUUGCGAGUUCUCUAAAAAAGAGGAAGAAAGAUAACAGGGGAAAAGGGUCAGGUACAAGUUGGUACUCUAACAACAGAAGCAUAUAUCUUAUUCAAUAUGCAUCAAAGAUUUCUACUCAGUUUAUAGUAGCACUAAAUUCAGGGUAUGAAUGAACGAAAAGAAGCACCAUGCAUGAGGCACGCAGUACAGAAAUUAUUUUAACCACCUUAACCUUUAGUGGUACAAAAUGAGCUGGACUAAGUUGUUGGACAGCAUUAAAUUUCUACAUCUAGCUAAUAUAAUACAUUUCGCCGAAUAAUUGACAACUUCAAGAUCCACACUUCCAAAAAAAAAAUCUACUUCUUUUUAAAUUAGCACGUAAGGAAAUUUGGCUAACUAAUAAGGAGAAAGAGGGUGAAAUAGACAAUAACUUAAUAUGCAAUGUAGAAAAGCAGUUUCCAGUUCUAGUUAGAGCACUAUAAAGAAGCAUAUAUUUGAAGAAAAAGACCUUGAAUACUCGUACCUAUAAGAACAUAUUGAGAUAUAACCGACAUAGGACACUUUUGAAAGUAUUGCGCCUUAAUAAUCAAUAUUCCUAUGCAUCUUAGAGUGCCUAUAGUAAAGAUUCAUGCAGUUGAAAUGCAAUAUAAACCACUGAGUGCUGAGAAACCAAAAAAUCACGAAUUUUGUAUGUUUUUCUUUUUACUACCGCAAUCAAGUGGGUUCCAAAUUUAACAGUCAAUACCUGGCGUUCACUUGAUUAGCAAUCUAGAAAAGCCAAAAUUAGUUGAAGUUCUAUUUGUAAACAUUGAGUAUCCAAAUUAAGAUGAAUCUCAUUAUCUAGUGAAGCAUCAUAUACUACAUAUUAGUAUAUCCAGAGGUGAUUUUUUUGCUUUCCAUAUAAAUAACUCAGAUGAUAUAAAAUGUAGGGAUUUUCAAUACGAGCGCACUAAGUUAAUUAAGAGUAGAAUUAUCAAGCCUCGUACUAGCAUAUGUUACAUAUUUUUUUUCUUUAAUUUAUAUAUAUUCUCCCUCUCCAACUUCUUUAAUUACAACGCACCCAAAAUUUAAAAAAACAAAGAUACAUUAGCAAAUUUACAGUCCAAUCAGGUGCUUAUAGUGUUUCUAUCUCUGAAUUAUCAUGAGAAACCCUAGUAACAUAGAAUGGCUACUAAACCCAUUCUUUUCAACAAUUAUGUCUAUCUACUCCUUAAAAAAGCCACUUUUUCUUAGAAUUAGGCUAUAACCAACAAAACCCCAUACAUUUCAGAGGAUUUAUAGAUUGAGCACAAGAAACUGAUGAUUCCUACAUAGAAAAAUAAGCCGUAAAAACAGAGUUUGCGAUUCAUAAAUACUCUUCGCAAUGGAUCAUCAAGCUACAAUUCUGUGUGAAAUCAGUGCCUAGAAUCAAAAAGAAAACAAACGGGUCUGCAUGAAUUCCUAAGAAGGUGAAUUGGGUCCUGAGAUACAACUCAGAUUAGUGAGAAAUUAAGGUGAUGACAACAAAAUUAGAGAGGAAAUUAGAGAGGAGGGGGAGCUCACAGUAGAGUGGAAUCCCUAAUGGAGCCAUUUAGGUGUGCGUGGAGCUCAAUUUUGGGAAUCGCAUGGCACCACUCCCUCAUCCCCAAAUCCAUCUCUCUCUCUCUCUCUCUCUCUCUCUCUCUCUCUCUUUUAUCUCUCGCGGCGCGCCUAAUUUUCUUCUGGGAGUAGUAGUUGGGAGUUGGGACUCUGAGAAAGGUCGGGAUCUUAUAUAGACAAGUAACGUAGGUGAAAUUACUGAAAUACCCUUCCCUGGGACCUCAGCUAUGGCCCAUGGACCACUUUGGAAUAAGACCCCACUACUUUUAUUUCUUUUGACCGGACACCCGUCUGUGGAAGCAAAAUUUAACAAUAUUUUUGGGUCUAAGCACAUGGUAUCAUACUAUCAUGUAACUCUUUUUUUUAAAGCUAUUACCAAUGUAAGGUGUUAGGAAUUAAACCCAUAACCUCUCUAAUAAGAGAGAGCAGGUGAUACCAACCACUAGGCUAUGUUCCCAUCUGUGGUAUUCAACAACUUAUUUCUUCACAUGAUCCGAGAAAGCUCAUUUAUCUUUCUAUAGUACAAAAUGGAGCUUAUUGGUGCUCCAGUUUGAUCUUAUUCUCUGCUUUAUUUUGGAAUCCAUUUUUACCCAUCUAUGCAUGCUUCCAUUUCUGAACUCAUCAGCUAUUUAUUCUUAGAAAUCCCCAGUUUAUGAUCAAUGUUGACUCAUAUUGUGACUGUGCAAGAGAAGCCCCACCACUGCCCCAGUGACAAAAUCAGUUUAUUUAAUAUUCAUACUUAAUAAAGGGGGAAAAAAAAAAUAAAACUUAAACACUCUGGGUCGCCCCAAAACAAAUAGAAAAGAUGCUGGGCAUAAUCCUCCAAUAAGGAAAUUCAUGUUUACCUAGCCACCUUAAACCAGGGGUCUCAUGUGCAAAGUGCUGCAGCUACAUAUAUUUACUCUCACUUUCAGAAAAAAAUAAGAGACAUAAAAGAAUUUAUGAUGUUACAUGCCCUUAAAGCUGAAGAUAAAAAUGCUAAGUUCUUCUAGUACAAUGGAUAACUAAAAAGGUUUGAUGCAUCACGUCCUUCAAUAUAAUCUGGAGAACUAUACUGCUAAAGAACUCUCCAGAAGAAUUUGAUCUAUACGAAACAUACAUGAUAAACAAAACCAUGGGACCCUGCAAGCGCUCGUGUAGGUGAAAAGGCAUCUCUGUAGUAUCUCAUUCAUGUAAACAAUCAACUCGCAUGGUCAAUUUUAUGGCCAAAAAAAGAAAAAAAAAAAAAGAAUAACAAGAAAAAACGGCGGGUAUUUAUCAUAUAAAACAAGCAACUGGAUCAGUGCUGAGAAGCAGUAGUCUGGACCAACGACGAUCCAAUCUGAAGCAUGAGAGGAUAUACCGGAGUGAACUCCUUAUCUCCUCGAGCCCUAACUUUCAUCUCAUAGUCAUCUAGCGUCGCCUUUAUUCCUUUCCACACCUGAUCCUCCCCUUGCGAAUCAAGCCACAAUGAGUACUGAAGUGGUGUGAGCUUGUUCCUCUGCAAGGGGGACUGCAACUCAUCAGGCCCGCGAGAGUAGAGGUGGUGGAGUAUUACACUUGGCGGCAAAUCUUGAAGGAGUGGUGAUCCUCCGAUCUGAGACGUCUCCAAGAAGAUGAGGGGCCGGAAUGCACGGAGGGCCCUGUAGGGGGGACCGAGCUGCUCCACUGGGAAGAGGUUCUGGCCCACGGCAAGCUCGAGCUCAGCCAUGUCCCUUGCCAUCCGCAACUUGCCUGAUUCUGAAAGAGGCCGUAUGAGGGCAGCGUGCCUUAUGAAGAAUAUGAGAACCCGUGAAGCCAUUCUGCGGGCAAGUUGAGUGCACAGGGACUCAGACCGAACAACAGAGGAUGAGGAAGGAGGAGGAAGCAGCUUUGAGAGGAACUCGGAGCGGAAGUGGAGUGCGGAUUUCUGAAGCUCCUCCAUGUAAGGGGAUGCAUUAUUGUUGUUGUCAUGGGCCCCAUCAAAGUCGUAGUCGUGGAUUUGGAGGAUGCAUGAUUCGAGGCGGUCGAGCAUGGACUGGAAGAGGGAGGUGACAGGUUCACAGGCGACGCUGUAGAUGGCAGCGAGUGGUUGGGAGAGAGCGUCGGAUGCAGCAGGGGGGAGGCUUGAGGCGAUGGUCGAGAUGCGAGCGUGGAGCUCUUGGAGGUGUUGGCAGAGAGUGAAGUUCUUGAGUUGGGCCACAGUUGCCGGGCCUGUUACUUGGCGGGCUUCAGGGCCGGUGGAUAUCUGUAGUCAUUAUGUAGCGGCAUCAGAUGACUAAUGUAAACCGUAAGCAGUCAAAAAAUCAAAUGGAAGAGAUUAUUAUUUGUGUCGAGACAUAUAGGAGUAUUUAUGCUAGGAAGUAUGUAGAUUAGUCGGUAGAAUGAAUCGGAAUUGCAAUAUAGUAAUAAGAUACAGCAACAUAUAGAAAAUCCAAACCCUUAAUGAGUUUCGUAGGAAUUUCAGAACCACAGUAAAUUAAAAGAGCCAAAACAUGUAACCUCCAACAAAUUUUACAGCAGCAAAAUCCUUUACCGAAUCAGAUUCAGGAGAAAAAAUAAUCUGACUGGAUAUAACAUAAUAGAGAAACCUGUGAUGGUCUCCCAAACCUAGAAGAUGUCAUAUGACAGAAUGUAGAAUUGUAGAACUAAAUUAAAUUGAGACUAUAUACCUCAAAUGAAGGUCCUUCAAAACGUUAACAUACAAGCACGUUUGAAUCACAUCUAACAAUAACAGUCACAGACGCUACGCUGCCAUUCAAGCAGAGUCACGCUAUUUAACCAAAACAAAGAUAAAAGAUAGAGAAGAAUCACGAAGCUACCAGUUGUCCAAGUAUACACAUAAGAGGUACGUACUAAAACAAUGAUAAGUUUGCUACAUUGAAAGGAACAUUUUCCAGAAAGCUAAAAAUGUUAGGACAAGCCAUAUUAUAAGUCAGCACCAUACAACUCAAACUACAAAUAUAUCAACAAACAACUUAUGAUAGGAGUGGCAAGUUAUUGUUGCAAAAUAUAAAUUGCUUCUAGCAGAUACCUGGUAUUCAGCUCUCUCAGCCAGCAGGAGCAAAACCUUUUUAAUCUCACGCAAAACAAGAAGUAACAGGUGUCCAUGGGUCCUAACAACUUCGAUCUCUUCUUGGAUGCGUGAUAUGAUUCUCGAGAUCUGGUCCUUCGAGGGUAUGCUUCCACGGCUGGAUACUGGAAAUAUACUAUUAACAUAGUCGGAGAGGCGGCUUAGGCAGAGAGCUAAAAAGGCCGUCUGGAAAGUCUCAAUGGCAGCCAUCAUUUGAUCUUUUCCUUCUUGAUUGAGAGCUGGAAGAACACCCUUCACAUCAGUAUCUCGUGAAAUUCUUUCUAGCAGGUUCUCUACCAUCGAGAACAGCCUUGGGUACCCAAUAGUAAAUAUUUCCUUGACGAAGCUUGAAGCAGUGCAAGCGGACUUCAUCUGGCUUGCAAAAGCUUUCACAAGAGCUUCCCAUACUCGCUCUGUCAAUAGAGGCUCCCCCUCCUGUACAAUAAAAAGCAUCCGUAAUUCCAAGAAAACAACAAUAGUAAUAAAAAAAAAAGCAUAAUCGUAGUAUGGAUAAUAAUAACAAAUAUUUCGAUAAUACAACAUAAACAGAUGAUUAUGAAAAAGCCAUUUUUCUACGUCAUAGCAACACAUAGUCAUGAUUUGCUAUUAGGAUUCAAUCGACACCAUGGUUAUUGUGUAUUUUAUAAGUCGAACAAAUCAAUUUUGCCAGAUCUCAACCGUCGUAAGAAGAUAUCUCGGAAACGUAAGAACAAGCGACUACUCAAAUCGAUCAUAUUUAUUCCGAGCAUUGCAGAAUAAUUCUAGAUAUAUACAGCCACCAUUUUUUUGAUGAGAAUGCAGGGAUCGGUGAGGAGGAAAGAUCAGAAGUAGCUUCACCUGCCACACUUCCUGGAGGAACAAGACCUGCGUAAAGGGCACCUUCUUCUUGGUAAGCACGGUUUGCAAUUGCCACACCGCCGUCACGACCCGAUGCAGCUCGUCCGCGCACUGCUUCAUCCGCUCCCACAGCGCCUCCGCGGCCCUCUUCCCCGCUCCGAUCUGCGGCGUGCCGCUCCGCUGCACCCCGCCGGGCCCGCCGAACCCGGAGGAGGCGGAGAUGGCCUUCAUGUCGAGGGCGGCGGCGACGCUCUUGGCCCCGGCGGCCCUGUACUUGGCGACGAGGGCGUCGACGGCGGGGCGGAGCUCGCCGAGGUUGUAGAAGACCUGGAGGCCGCCCCAGACGUCGUUCUGGUUGGAGGCGUCCAUGCCGCGCUCGACGGCGGCGGCGGCGUCGGCGCGGAGGGCGGCCUCGGCGUCGGCGAGCCAGCGCAUCUCGUCCUCGACGGCGGAGAUGCCGGCGAGGCCGCGCUCGUCGUAGAUCUGGCGGAUCUCGCGGUGGAUCUCGGCGGCGCGGGCGAGGUCGAGGCGGGCGUCGGAGUCGCGGAGGCGGAGGCGGGCGGAGAGGCGGAGCAGGCGGGGGGACAGCACCUCCGACCGCAGGUGCCGCUGCAGCACCCGGAUGGCCUCGUGCAGGGACUCCGCGCGCGACGCCGCCGACCCGGACGACAGCGCCUGCGACGAGAACCGCGACGAGUCGAACUCCGGGGACAGGAACGCCGAGAACACCGGGUCCGACGCGAACGAGUCCAGCGGAGACGAACUCGGCGCCGCGCUGGUGGCAGGCUCCCCGCUCCCGCCCCCGCCCCCGUCUCUGAAGGUCGGGAGCUUCUUCAGAGGGGAGGAAGACGGCAGGAUCCGGGGCGACGCCAUGGCUGCUUGGUGACUGGCAGGCAGAUCUCGUCGCUCCCUGCACUGCACUGCCCCGACCCUUCUUCGAUUCGAAGACUUCCUCCUUCCCUUUUCGCUUCUGGAGCUCUUCGGGCUUUUAUUAAUUAUCAAUUAAGUAUUAUUAUUAUUUUUAUUAUUAUUACAUGCUAAUUUGUUACGAGAUACUUUGGCAUAAAAAAAAUAUAUCAUUUCAGAUCAAAUUCUGUUUUUUUAAUAUUAAAUAUUUAACUUAUAUUUAUAUUUGAGUUUUAAUUUUUUUUAAGGUGAAAAAUUGCAUCAUAUAUAUAUAUAUAUAUAUAUAUAUAUAUAUAUAUAUAUAUAUAUAUUAGUUAUACUUUUCUAUUAUCUCACAUGAUGCAAUAAAAAGUGAUAUAUAUACUCUAUUAUAUUAUUUUUAGAAAUUAUAUAUAUUGCUUUUUCCGACAAAAUAUUAAGAAUUGCAAACAUGUAUUUCAAAAAUAUUAUUUGUAUUUGUUGGUAUAACUAAGAGUACUAUUUACUUUCUGUUUGGUACAAAAGCUAAAUAAAUUUUAAUUAUGUUUUAAGCUAGUAACUAGAAAUUGUAUUUUUAGAUUAGGAAUGAAUAGGAUUCUGAUUUGCAUUUUAUUAUCUGUUUAUUUAUUUUAUUUCCAUGUGAUCAUGAAAGAAGUUAGAGAGAAAGAAAUAGAUUAGAAAAAAAAAUUACAUAUACUUGGGAAAUACAAAUUAUAACGUACUCGACCUCAAAUUAUCUAUUUAAUUUAAUAAAAUUAUUUUUAAUAAUUUAAAAUUUAAUCACAUCAUCAUAAUUUUUAAUAUUGAAAAAUAAUAAGAAAUUAUGAUUUGUUAUUUCAUCGAAUUUAUUUAGGAUGCCAAAUCGGGUGUUACAAACAGUGAAGUAGCCACCGAGCCGGGGCCAAAAAUCGUGUUGAAAGAGUUUCUCUCAGGUGCGACGCACUGAAGCUUCGUUUCCCGCGCCAUUCUUGCUAAAACCCUCGACGCCCCUUCUGUCGCUCUAAAACCCUAGAAUUUAGGGCUUUUUAUGGCGCUCGCCUCUUCGCUUCCUCCUCUCGAGCAUUCCUUCUAGGGUUUUUACUCUCUUCCUCCUCUCCUCCUCCAUGAAUCUCUCUCGCGCCUUCCUUCGUCUCCUUUCCUCCUCCUCCUCCUCCUCCUCCUCCUCUCCCCAAUCCCACAAAUGGCUCUUACUCCGCCGCAUCCCCAUCGUCCCUCCCCACUACUCCGCCCUCUCCUCCGCCGCCGCCGCUGCCGCCGCUUCCCCAACAAAGCGCCCCUCCUACAAUCGGAAGCCUAAGCCGAAGCCGGAGCCGGAGCCGGAGCUGGAGCCGGCGCCCGCGCCGGAGCCGGAGAAGGACUCUUCUCUAGGGCUUACGAGCUCCGGGUGGAAACCCCAGGUUCAGAGGGAGAAGGGGCCCUGGGAGCUGCCGCGGCCCAGCACGAUCCCCUUCCAAGCCAAGGUCGCCAACUGUGUGCAGUUCGUUGGAACCAUCGGCGUCCCCGUCCAGCUCCAGAGGCUCCCCGAUGGCCAGUUCACCGCCGUGUCUGUUCUCGUCUGCAAGAACACGAAUGGCUUCCUACAUUUCUGGUAUGGACGCGAACUUAUCUUUAUUGUCAAAUAUAUGUAGAAAUUGAUGGGAACAUUUGUACUAGAAUUAGAGCUAGAUUGUUAUUAUAGAGAAGCGCAUAACGUUUCUUGUAGCAAGUACACCAGAUUGUUGCCAAGAUAUGCUGAUGUAAUCUGGGUCAAUCUUGAUUGCCGCGCUAUCACCUUUCUUUAAUUCAUUUUGUUGCAUUCAUAUUGUUGGAAGAAAUUACGUCCUCGAUUUAUUGUAUGAUGGCUCUUCUAUCUGUUUCAGUGCUCUUUUCCUUGUUGAAAUAGUUGAUACUUCUGUAUCUUUGAUUAUCUUCAUUGCGUCUUAACAUAUCUGGAAUCUGUUUCACAAAAAGAUCGUAAUUAUUUGUUUGGAAUUCUUCUGAAAUUUUUAUGAAAGAAUAGCCAACUUUAACACAUUUUUCUCUUUCGCAUUGAGAUGAUCUCAACCAUGUAGUUCUUAUUCCUUUUCAGGAUUCCUGUUAUAUUUCAAGAUGAUUUGGCACAAAUAGCUGCUUGCCAUCUGAAGGAAAAUGACCUCGUGCAUAUAGAGGGAGAGCUAAGUGGAGAUGCACCACCAUUCCAAGAUAAAGGUUCUCAAGCCAACAUUCAGGUGUGAUAUCUUGUGUUAGAAUAAUUGACAUCAUUUUUCCCAUUACCUCUUUGUCGGGGGAGAAGAAAUACCAAUAUGGCAUGCAUAGGAUAUGAGGAUUUUUAUCCCUCAUUCAAUUGAUUUUGGGAGCAAAAGGAUGAGCCUUUUUGUUCUCCAACUUGACAACUUUCACCAUUUAUUAAUUAUUUAUUUUAUCAGACAUGGGAAUUGCUUAGGACUGUUGUAUAAGUAUAUUCAGCUGCUGACUUGCUGCAUGGCAUGCGAUAUCUGCUGAGUUCAAAACUUGGAGUCUAUAUUGCCUCCGGAGAUUCAAGUGGCUUCUUUUACUUUAUUCUAUUAUACUUAAUUGGCCUGGCAUUUUUAGGUCAGGCAAACAUAUUGCUAGUUGUGCCUAAUAAUUUCUCAGGACGGGUGACCUCUUGUAUAUCUACACGUACAUGCCUACAUAGUACAUACAUGUUGCAUUUAUCUUUUCUGUAUGGGUUGUUGCAGGGGUGAAGGAUCUCUAUAGUAUGAUUCUUUUAACCUCUAGGUAAUAUUUAAUCAUGCACCAUUAGAUUUGACCAUCUGUUGAGUCGUUUAACAAUGAAUUUGAGUACUUGGACUUGCACCCAAAAAAAAAAAGUUUAUAUGCACAUAUUCAUUGUAAACAUGUGCCUCAUUUAUACGCUUGUCAAUCUGUAUAGACAAAAACGCAUAUGUAGAAAUAAUGAAUGUAUAUAUGCACAUCUCACUAUUAGCAAUCAUGCCCUUAGUAAUACUUGCUUCUCUUACAGUGCUGGGCGGUUUGCUCUUGUUUGCAUCUUUAUUUUGAUUAGGCUGACUGACUAAAGCAUAUACAUUAACUGACACCUGAAUUAUGUUUUCUGUAGAUUUUAGCUCAUAGCGUAAGUUUCGUGCAAAAUGAAUGUAAAGAGAAGGACAGCAAAGUAGCAGACAAAAAGGAUGCUGUGAAGCCUAAUCAUUCUGGUAAUUUUGUCCUUCAUGACUCAACUUUAAUUUCGUUAGUCAUAUCUUGCUUGUUGGAAUAUCUUUAACUUUUGGAGAUGAUAAUGAUAAAAGCUUUUCAUUCAAUUGAAAGAGAGAGUAAUCCGGUCAACUAUGUAAUGCUCUAUUGAAGUAUACAUCAUGAUCUCAAGAGAAUGAUUUGGUCUGUUGAUCACUUCUUUCAGGUUACAGGGAUUUUCAUGUAAACUACAAUUCAGAUGAGUUGCUUUUGUUUUGAACUGUGUUUUAUCAGCUUUAUGUUGACAAGGGCCUUUUGGGAUUUAGAAAAUUUUGAUGUUUUCGGUGAGAAAGGAUGUCUUGUUUGUUAUUACUUGUAUAAUAACGAAUAAGGAUGCUAUCUAUAUAUAAUUUUCUUUUAAUCAUCAAUUUCGAGAUGUUUAAAGAUUACCAACUAAUUGAACUUAUUAUUCUGGCAAAAAGUUUAUGAGUACUCGAAAUAAAUUGAGUGAUUGAUUAAUAAAAACACUAUUUCCGUCACCCUUUUUUAAAAUCUUUCUAUUCUUUUUUCUACGAUCCUCUAUUUCUUGUGACACUUCAGAUACCAAUUGUAUCCAUUAAUAUUUCUAAUUGCAUCUUCUGUAAAAAUCUUGUUUGUGGCUACCAUUGAUUAGGUGAUUGUGGCUGUUUUGUUCUUUCGGAUUUUUUAAUAUCAUAGCAUAGAAGUAAAUUGCAUUUCAAAAUUUGACUGAGGAUUCAUACCAUUUGGUUGCUUUAUCACUUAACUGAUGAAGUAAUUCUGAUUACUUGUGAUUAUUUGGUCUCUUACUACAUUUAUGUUCACAGUAGCUGAGAUAGAGGAAAAUUCACCAAUGUUGCAUUUGUGGAAUGACCUUCUGGCGAACCCUCAAAACUGGUGGGAUAACAGAUCAAACAAAGUUAGUAGUUGCAAAGUUUUCCUCUCUUUUCAUAUGGUUCUUACCUUUACAUUUUUGUUUCGCUUAAAAUUCUUCUUUCCGUUGGAAAUUGGUCUAGACCUUCCCCAAAUCAGCUGCAUUUAAACACAAGGUUAAAGGAGAAUUACUUUGGCUAAAUGAGUCAACUCCCGAUUGGGUUCUGUCCAAACUGGAUACCUUAUCCUUUGGCCCUAAUAGGACAACAAAGAGGGUAGACAAGGGUAAGCAAUUCAGGCUUUUUAGUUAAUAUUUCUAAUCAUAAUGUAUGGACUAAUUGGAUAAUGAGAUUGGACAAUCAUGUAUACACUUGACUUACUGGUAUGAUAUAUUCAUUUCAGACAACACAGAGAAGUCAGAGAAUCCAACUCUGAAGUUAUGGUACGAUCUUGUUAGUAAUCCGCAACAAUGGAGGGAUAACCGAAUGGACAAACAAAAUGGAAAGGUGAAGAUAAUCAUCAUCCUUUCCUGUCUUCUUUUUCUUUCCUUGAAAAAGGACUAUAUAUUUUAAUAUGCCAUGCCUAUAAAUUUUUCUUAUUUUCCUGCUAUGCAGAAAAUUCCAAAAUUUCCUGAUUUUAAGCACAAGGAUAAUGAAAAUCCGCUAUGGCUUAACACAGCACCACAGUGGGUGGUAAAGAAGUUGGAUGGCUUAGUAUUUUAUGGGAGCUGUAGUACAAGUAACCAAGAAGUUACAAUUAAUGAAGCUCAUACACAAAUAAAUGACAUUGGUAUUCUUUUAUCCUUUAAUGAUUUAUUUUUUUAUUUUUUAAUAUUCAACUUGAACUUCGACCAUCUUAUAUGUUGACUUAACAGGUAAGGUUAGCAGGAAGUUUAAAGGCAAGGAGCACAAAGAAGCAUAUGCAGUAUCUGAUAAAAAAACUGAUGGUGCGUGUGGCAGAUACUUCCGUUUAAUGAUCCUAGUGUGAACUUAUCUUGUUUCUCAACCAUUUCUUUUUUCACUUCUGAUUACACUUGGAUUCUAAUCUUAAAGUGCUUUAAUCUCAAACUAACGUCUUCCAACUAUGAUGCAGUGGAUUUAUGGAAGAAUCUCGUGGAGAAUCCAAAAGAAUGGUGGGACAACCGAGCAAACAAGGUGAAUAUCAACUGACAGAGGACAAAAAAGGAAAAAAAACUAUCAACUCACUCCCUGUUAUCAAUUCGUUGAUUCGUCUCCUUUUUGUCGCUUGCAGUUCAAUCCGAAGUCUCCUGAUUUCAAGCACAAAGAAUCAGGUGAAGUUUUGUGGCUUAGGCCAUCUACCCCAGAAUGGAUUGUAUCGAAGUUGCCUCCAUUGAAUACCAAGGCUGGGAAUCGUAAAAAGGCUUCUGCUGGAAGUGCUUCUUAAGCAGCUUCUGCAUUGAAGCUAUACCCUACUAUCUGGAGCUACAUGAGCAGCUUCUGCUUUUCCACAAUUUGAGCUCCGCAUGUAAAUGCGUCCUCUCGUGGUGCUAGUAUGAUCGCUAACUGAAUCCAUAUCAAGCGAUGGUUGUUGUUGUAUUCUCCUUAGUGGGUUAAUACAAUGUAGGAUUUGCUGUAAAAAAAAAAAAAAAAAAGUAGGGAAAAUUAAUGUAGAUCUGAACUACCUGCUUGUGAGCAUGUGGUGUACAUUUGUUUCAGUUGUCUACAAGAACUAGGAUCACCAAUAUGAAAUUAUUUUGCAUUGCAUGACACCUGUUGGCGAUGUCUUCAUGCGCAUUGUAGGGAAGUACUCAGAUAUGUUGCAAGGAAGGGCUUGAUUUGUGAUAUCUGCUUAAAGUGAUUUCCUCUUGUUUGAGUCUUUGAAACGCAUUGGAUCUGCCCUUCGCCUGUGGGUGAGGUACACCACUGGUGAUUAAAAUUUAUAUGCUUUUGCACAUUUUUGGUACUCUAAAUAAGUAUGUUUUAGCUAAAUCAAUCAGCACCAUCUGUACAAUAUGUGAAAUUUAUUAUCCAUUGUAUGUAUGACAACGUAAUGUGCUUUCGUUCUGCGCAUUGAUGACGCAUCUGGGCAAUGUGUUGUCAACGUGUCUGGGGCGUAGUCUGGGACUCUGGGCUCGGAGUCUCGGACGCGGCCCACGUAAAUCAAGCUGCGCCCAUUAAACCAUUCGGUCCAGCACCGUACGGAGACAAACUUUUUGCCUGUGCUUGGUUCACCACGUCAUCAUGGACCUUCGAAGUGCUCUCCAUCGUUACCGAGAGCAUUCUGGAAUGGACCCUCCGAUUUUAUUUAUUUUAUUUAUUUAUUUAUUUAUUUUAAAAAAGCUAGUGACUAAUAACUUUUUAAAUUUAAUUUUAUAUUAAGUUAAGUUACAAAAAAUCAUUGGCUAUUAGACAUUAGUAGCUAUAAUGUUAUUUUAUUUUAUUUGUUAAAAAAUAAUCAAGACUAUUACAUCUAAUAAAAUCAAAUCAUUCAUAUUAUAUAUAUAUAUAUAUAUAUAUAUAAUAAGAAAUUUUAAAUAUUUGAUUAGAAAAAUAAAAUUAAUUUUAAAAGAAAGAGCACUGCCCUACAGGCUACAACAGAGGGAAGGGCGGCUGCAUCGAGAUUGAGAAGAGAAACGCAGAAGGAUGCUGCCGGGAAUGUUGGACUCGCGGUCGGUGCAGCUGACCCUGGUCGGCCUCCUCCUCGUCGUCGCCUCCUUCUACGCUGGCACCCUCUUCAGCCCCACUCCCUCCCCCCUCCUCCUCCCCCCCUCCCCUCCUCCUCCUCUCCUCCUCUCUCAAACACUCCAGGUAUCCAUUAUCAUUUUCUUUUUCUUUCCUUUUUCCUUUCUUUUUUUAUUUUUUAUUUUUAUUUUUAUUUUGUGUGUGUGUGUGUGUGUGUGUGUGUGUGUGUGUGUGUGUUUAUAACCCCCCAUAAUGUGCGAAACGAAACGCCUUUGUGCGCCUUGAUGAAUCCGCGCACUCAUUUAUGAUCUUCCCCCAUGGAAAGUGCAGCAGGCAAUGCUUGCUCGUUAUAGACAAUAGGGAGCAGAAUUUGCAAAAAAUGAAAAAGCCAGUCUAGAGGGGCUGAAUUUGGGUUAUAAUCCAUCCCCGUGUACUUUCCCGACCUACUGUCUGCACACACACAUUUUGUCACCUUCUACUUUCCCCAAGUACAUAGUGCGGCGGUUUUCAUAUCCAUUUGGUAUAAUUUGCUUCGGUUGAUCGUUUCGCGCGCUUGCGCAGCAUACGAUCCGCAUUUUUCCGAAAUUUUCCUGCUUAUCCCUCUCAAAUUGAGCUCUCAAACAUCGCACAUCGGCAUCUGCAGGUAACCUGCAGUUCCGAAGCAGAGUUGCUCUUACGUACCGGACGGCACCGGUCUCUAUUCCAGAAGAUGGGAUGCACGUGUGCCCUUUGCAGUAUAACGAAUAUAUCCCUUGCCACGAUGCGAGUUACAUAAAGAGCCUGUCGAAGAGCUUGGAUGUGUCUAGAAGAGAAGAUCUCGAGAGCCAUUGCCCUCCUCUUGAUAAGAGAUUGUUUUGUUUGGUGCCCCCGCCGACCGACUACAAGAUACCGAUAAAGUGGCCGACCAGUAGAGAUUAUGUCUGGCUUAGUAACGUGAACCAUUCGCAUCUUGCUGAGGUCAAAGGAGGGCAGAAUUGGAUUCAUGAGAAGGGGAAGCUUUGGUGGUUCCCCGGAGGCGGUACUCAUUUCAAGCACGGCGCUGCGGAGUACAUCGAGAGGUAAUCCUUGCCUAACAAAUAUGGUUCAUUUGUCAAAAAGUAACAAUACCGAGCAUCAGAACUAGUUGUAUCUAGAACUUUAGUUGUGUUCAGAAGUAUUCUGGUAUUUUAAAAUGUAAAAAGUUCAUGCGGACACGCCCGCCUAUAAUUGUUGUAUGCAGGCUAGGAAAUAUGACAACCGAUGAAACAGGUGAUCUGCGCACGGCCGGGGUGGUUCAAGUGUUGGAUGUUGGUUGCGGAGUUGCCAGUUUUUCUGCUUAUUUACUUCCGCUGGACAUUCACACAAUGUCUUUUGCUCCAAAAGAUGGCCAUGAAAAUCAAAUUCAGUUUGCUCUGGAACGGGGAAUUGGUGCAAUGAUUUCUGUGUUGGCCACAAAGCAGCUACCUUUUCCUCGAAACUCAUUUGAAAUGGUCCAUUGCUCACGAUGCCGUGUUGAUUGGCACGAAAAUGGUGAGCUUUUGGUCGUCGUAUUUGAAUCAAGAACUUAAUAGUAACUUUUUUGUUUCAUGAAAUUGAUAAAUAUGUGUAAAAUUGUUAUAUUACUUGAUUGAAUGCAUUGUCUAUUUCAGCUAGGCAAAAACAAUAAAUCGACCAAAAUGCUGUACCUCUCUGGAGUUUGCAGCUAUUAAUAGAUAGCAAUCAUAGAGAUUCUGAAGUAUGCAGACAGCUUUCUACUAUUUGACAAUAUAUGCAUAGAUAGAAACAUGCACACACAUUACGGGGAUGUUUAGGAAAAGAAAGGUUGCAAAAUGAAUAGUUUACACUCUGGUGUUUUAAGAAUUGAGAUUACAAAAUCAGAUACUUAAAUGGUAGUUGCCAGGUGAAAGAUCUAAAUUCAGCUAUUCAAAGAAAUUAUAGGUUUAGUUAUAGUGCUUUUCUUGCAUUAAAAGAAUGCAUGCCGGGGAUUUCUUUUUCAACUCUAGAGAUUUUUUUUGUGGCUUUGGCGUCUUUUUCAAUAGUUUCAUUUGAUGAAAGUUUAUCUCUGCUUCUUGAUGGUUACUUACAUAAUUAUCCUCUAUUUUCAGAUGGGAUAUUGCUCAAAGAGGUUGAUCGUCUAUUGCGGCCAAAUGGAUAUUUCGUAUACUCUGCUCCACCUGCUUAUAGAAAAGAUAAAGACUAUCCAAUCAUUUGGGACAAGCUGGUUAAUCUUACUGCAGCAAUGUGCUGGAAACUCAUUGCUAGGCAGGUCCAAACUGCCAUAUGGCUGAAACCAGAAGAUGACUCAUGUAGAAAGCAAAAUGCUGAGAGGAAUCUGUUAUCUAUUUGCGAUGCCAUAGAUGAUUCUGUUCCAUCAUGGAAAACACCAAUGAGGAACUGUUUGAUAUUAAGCACUGAGCAAUCUAAUUUUCAGAGGUUGCCACCUAGGCCAGAUCGCCUGUCAGUUUAUUCAAAAAGUCUGGAGAAAAUAGGUCAGUUGGUCUUCCUUACUUGUACGUUCUUUUCCCUAGCUGGUUUUUAUUUUGUUUGCAUGAGUAUUUUUAAUGUGGUAGUGUAGCAGAUGGCUGCGAUUUUAUCAAAUCAAGAUAGGAGUUUCAUAAAAUGUUAUUCUACGGACGCACCGCAUGUUCACAGAUUUGUGUCUGGAUCUCCUCCCUUGGCAGAUUAAUCUUGACAUAUUAUCUGAUAGUCAAACAUUUGAAUUCCCUAUUUGGAUAACAUUGUUGGUCGUGUAGGAACAUGUUUAUAAAUAUUCUGCUAUUUGUGUAUUCAAAAUGUUAUCUUGUGUAUAGGAUGUAUAUUUUGGCCGGCAAAAGUUAAGGCACAGUAUUUAACAGGCCGAGUAAAAAUGAAUGUGGCUGUUCAUCUUACAUCAAUAUUGAUAGCAAUACUUGUUUAUAAUUAAACAGGUUAUCAUGCUAUGUAGCUUAAAUAGGAUAAGAAAGUUUGCUCCAACUCAUAUUAGUAAAUCUUGGAAUAAUCAUUCUUUCCUGUUGUGCCUCUUCUUGCAUCUCAGUUGGUAUAAUAGUUACUUUUUAAUAUGUUUUAAUUUAAUAGGAGUGACUCCAGAGAAGUUUGAUAUGAACAACCAAUUUUGGCAAGAGCAGGUUCGCCAGUAUUGGACAUUAAUCAGUGCCGACAAGACUGAUAUCCGAAAUGUUAUGGACAUGAGUGCUUACUAUGGCGGCUUUUCUGUGGCUCUAAGUACCUUGCCAGCGUGGGUAAUGAAUAUAGUUCCAACAACAGUGCCCAAUAGUCUAUCAGCUAUCUAUGAUCGCGGACUGAUUGGUGCUUUUCAUGACUGGUGGGGUUCUGUUCCCUAUUUGAAUUACAACUCAUUAGUCCUUAUUUUGCACUGUGUAACAGAAAAUAUAUAUAUAUAUACACACACACAUAUGUAUGUAUGUAUAUAUGUCGUAGGUGUGAGCCCUUCUCAACAUAUCCCCGUACAUAUGAUCUGCUCCAUGCUUUCCAUCUCUUUUCUCUCUACAAAGGUCGUGGGGAAGAUUGCACCGUUGAAGAUAUCAUGCUAGAGAUGGAUCGCAUAAUUCGCCCCCAGGUAGAUUGUUUAUGGUUUUUAUUAUGUCCACUAACAUGUCAAUUUGUAUCACAAAAGAAAGUAUGUCAAGGAUAAUCAAUAUUUGUAUUAUUGUAGCUAGUUACAGAUCUUCCAUGGCUUUUCUAUCCAUAACUAUGUUUCAUUAAGUAAAGCUUGGAGGGUCAGAGUCAAGUAACUUCGAGUUAAUCCUGUAUUCAAGAAGGGAUCAAUCCAUUCUGAUUUGACCACAAUGCAAUCGUAUUUCUAUCGCAAACCAAACUACCAAAAAAUAUAAGAGUAUUCAGCCAACAAUUUAAAUUUCAUUAUCCAUUUAUAAAACAUCUUUGCAACUAAACAGCUCCUUAGGUUGAUUUGGAUAUUGAUGACCUGCUUAGGUUAGUUGGGCUAAUUACUUUGGUAAUUUCAUAACUGUUGUGUUUCUACAAUGCUACUUAUAUGAGGGAUCAUCAAAAUACUCUUUGGCACACCUCUAAGGUGGUUUCACAAUUACCUCUAUGGUGGUUUGGCAAUAAUUUACCAUUACAUAUCAGCUGGAGCAUCAUGAGUUUAGGAUCCAAUGUCUUAUGAGCUUGUAAACAUGCAGGGUUUUAUCAUUAUCAGAGACGAGGAUUCUAUUGUCUCCAGAAUCAGAGAUCUUGCACCCAAAUUUCUUUGGGAUACGACAUCACAUAUGUUAGAAAACGAGGAAAAAAGAUUGGAGCCUGUGCUGAUUUGCAGGAAGAAAUUUUGGGCCAUUGUUUGAGGUAACUUUGAUGUUUAAAAAUCUUUUGCCUUUUCUUAAUUCAUGGAAAGCCCAUAGGAAAUUAAAAUUUCAAUCUUGUCUCAGUUCAAUGCCUUAACUGUGUUUAUUUCCAUGCCCAGACGGAGAAUAUAAUGGAUGAUUGCCUUAAACAACAGUUUCUGUGUGUAAAAGCAUAAAUCUUUUUCUUCAGAUUGCAUGAAAAGUAAUAGGUGGGAAACAUCUUGUAAGUAUCAAAAUCAUCCUUCAGAAGUUCUCUCUGCUGCUUCACUACACAGCUUCAUCGAGACGAUGGUCAGUACUUUUUUUUUUUCAUUUUCCUUUUUUUUUUAGAGAAAUGAGCAUUGAGGAAGAUCCUUCUGUUUUAUGGAGUUUUAAGAUGUUUGGCUAUUACAUGAGGGUCCAUUAAUAUUCUCUUUGUAGGGCUGUACGAAAGUGGGUGUUAACCAUAAGUGCUAUUCUACCAGGUCUUCAUGAUACUAGGGCUUCUUUGAUUUAUUUAUUAAUUUUUUUUUUUUGGAUCAUAUAGGAACAAACUUUACUUUUCACAUUUUCAUUCUAUUGUUUUGUGAAUCUGUGAUAGAUUGAUUAAUCACUAUGUUUAGAAACCAAAUGCUUCAAUGAGAAUAGAUGAGUGGUGCUCAUAUGGCAAAUUGGAAGUACUUGAUCUUCGUAUCACAAAUAAUUGUCACACUGUAUUAAUGUAGCAUGAACAUUUUUUCGCUGCCCUUUUUAAGUUUUAUGACAUUGGCUAUUUGUAAUUAAUUUAUGUCAUACAUCUUCCCAUCAUCUUUAAGUCAAGGGCAAUGUGCUUUUCUAUCUUUAGGAACAUGUAAACCUCACACCCCCCUUCGGAAAGAGAAAUAUGUAUGCUUAGUCAAAUGUGGAUUGGGUAUUAAAUGAAUGAGUAGGGAACCAAAUUGGAUAUUAAAUGAACAUGUAAAACAAAAAGGACUUCUUUUGAAGAAACGUUCUGGUUCUGGCCAUAUUUUCAACCGAAAUUCAUGAUUCCUCCUUGCUUGUAAUAAUGGCUAAUCGUACUUCUUUUUGCUUGAAAUUGUGUAUUGCUGAAAUGCUUUUCAUUAGAUUUAAUCUACUGAAUUGUGUACUGCUCUUUAAAGAAAUCAGAGCAUGUUGUGACCAGGCACAUAGUAGAAGCUCUAGACCACUAUUUGUCAGAUGUUUGACUAUUAUUAUUAUUUUCUUUUGUGUUAAUAAUAGAGAAGCUGAUUUAGAAGUUAGAGCGAAAAAGUUGCAGAUGAUUCUAGUCUCGCAUCAAAAGAGCAUCCUAGUGCACAGGGCUCUUGCCACCAUGGGGUUUGGAAGGGUCAAAUGCAUAUGCAUCCUUGCACUGUUACAAAAAAAGUCCAGCACAAGUCAAAUUUACCACACUUCAACACUGCAGCAACAUUUCUACUUUGAGACAUCAGCUUUUGGCUUAAGUCUAACAGUAUCCUUACAGAAUUCAUAACUCAUAUGGAUACAAAAGAGAGCAUAAUAACUUCCUACACCACACACACACACACACACACACACACACACACACACACACACAUCAUUUAAAAGUCUUGUAGGUGGAGUGGCAUUUUUCACUUGGACAAAGUGGAGAAGAUUCAUUCAUGAAAGCAAGGUGGCAUUUGGGGAUGCUGAAAAGACUAGACUAAACCCACAUGUUGCUUUUAGGGCAUUGGCCCCCACCCACCAACUCUUAACAAUAGGCUGUGUUCCCUUAGUGCACUAGUUGACCUCAUGUUUAUCUUUUUUCUUUUCUUUCCACCAGAGGGGUGGGGGGGGACUUGCCCAUCAUUGUUCAUCAAAUUUUCCAUUAACUCCCCUAUGACCAACAUUUUGCUUUCUACCUUUCUUUAUCCAUGAUUUGAUCCUGUGGGGUGUGUGACUUAUUUAUUUAUUUUGUGGAGGAUUCCAUUUUAACAAACCUCUCUCUUUAUCUCUCUCUCUUUUUUUAAUCAUUCUUCUUUUUGUAGAAGUCAUUUGACAUUAUUUUGAUGCCUCUACUAAGGAAAGGAAUAUCUAAUCCUAUAUUUGGUCAAUGGCUUCAUCAUUUUUGCAGCACCAAGCCACCAUCAGUAGGAACAGAUGCUGGGAUUAUCUUUCUUUCUUUAUUAUUCCCCCCCCCCCCUUUCAUUGGUGGGCUUUUUAAAGAGUAUUACAUCUGGCUUACAUUACAUUUAAAGUGUUAAUUACUAUUCUCCUGUCAACUUAAACCUUUUGUACCGGCGAGACCGAUUUUAACAUGGUAUCAGAGAUUCGUCAAUUUGAAUUCUGAUUUGUAUACAACGCGUAAAACUUAUUGUAAAAUUAGCUGUAAAUUUUGAACUUGUGUGUGGUACAAUGAACCAAAGCCAUGCAGGUUGUCUCAUUUCCCUUGCAGUCCAGCAGGCAACUCCAGGAAAGAAUCACUGGAAAGUAUUCACUGGUAAUAUGUAUCUGUUGCUUUCAGCUUGUUAAUAUAGUUCACAAGAGUGAGUUUAAUGCAGUGCUUUACUUUAAAGAAGAAUCCGAGAGCAACAGCUCAAAAAGUAGAAAGGGACUCUCACCAUUAAGAUCGCCUUCUGCCACGUGCUAUUCCCAACCCUGGCACGGUUCUUACGCCUGUGUCAGCGUCCUCCCGCCUGCCGGCGUGGACUGACUGCCGACGAAUAAAAAUUAAAAAUUUUUUUUAUAACAGUUAUUUAUAUAAUAAUAAUAAUAAUAAUAUAUUUAAUUAAAAUAUGUUAUACCAUACAAAGUGUAAAGUUAAAUUUUUUUAAACGUCAUUUUAAUAUGAAAUUACUGUAUUGCUUUUUAUUCGAUUUCUUAUUGUAGAUUAGUUUGAGAUAGAUAUACCCUGCACGGCAACAAGAAAAGACAAAGGGCUUUGUUGGUUCAUAUAAGAUAAAUAGAAAAAGAAUUGACAUAAUUAAUACAGUUGGCGUAAAGGGAUUAGCAUUUCGUUAUAUAGCAGGAGGCCGAGCAGGAUCGAGUCAUAUUCGAAGUGGCGUAGAUUGGUUAGGCCAAGCCACCAUCAAGACUGUCUCUCUACGCUACGCUUUAAGUGAAUUGAUUGCGUAUUUUUAAUAGCUCGAACUUUUAGGUUUAAUUGUUAGCGUUAUCGAUCCGGUAAAUAAUAUCAGAGCUAAAGAUUACUUUUGAUUUAAAAGACCAUCAUUACAUCCUGUGGCAUAAGAUCAGAUUGAAUCGAAUCGCAAGCUACAUUCUAAAAUGAAUUAGUCAUAUAAAUCAAAAGAAGUCUACUUUCGCUUUUAUUAUUAUUAUUAUUAUUAUUAUUAUUAUAUUUUUGUUUGGGGAGUGGGAGGACGUAGGCAUCAUGAUGAUCAGCACGGAUGGUGGGGGCCCCACAUUCGAUCCAUCCAUGGAUCCAACGUCUCUCUUUGUUCUGGGGCUCCCAUGUCACGUCCCGUCGUAUCUCCCCAAUCCCAAGAAGAAGAAGGUCGCAGAAACCCUAAACCAUUCCAUACACACGACACGAAAUUUAAAGCCUGUCAGAGCACCUCUGCAUCGGGUCGGUUAUGUAUGGGCCUACGCCACCGCUCCAGUUAACCCAUCCGUGUACUCAUGCCUUCUCUCACAUCCACCGCAUGUAACGCUUCUCACUUUUUAAGUUUUUUUUUUUUUUUUUUUAGAAGAGAUAGAUAGCACGCUAUUUAUUUUAUUUUAUUUUAUUUAGAAAUAAAUUUAGUUGGAAAAUAUGAAUCAACUAGGAUUUGAACUUGGGUCUUGGGUAUCAACCGUCAAGUCCUUUGCCACUUACUCUAGAGGCAGUCGGUUCACUUUUUAAGCUGUUACCAACCAAAAAUCCUACUAUAAUUCUAGUAUGUUAUAUCAGUAUGAGAAUAGUAUAGCAGGAUUGUGAUCGAUGACGCGCUAUCAAUUAAUAUGUCAUAUUGUUUUUAUAUUAUGUUUAGCCAACUAAACUGAUUUGUUGAAUUUGAUUGCAAUAAUUGUAAAAAUUUGAGUCAAAAAUAAUUUGCGGACCAAAAUGUCGCCCUGGAGAUCGACCAAACGUGCAAUUUACGUGCCUGGAGUUUUAUUUUAGUUCGCGAUGGAACCUCUAAAUUCAAUAAUUAAAACUUCAAACUCUACUGAUUCUAUUAUAGCCUAUUUUACUAUAGCCUCUGAAUUCGUAAAAAUAUUUUUUUUGUAAUUUUUACCUUAGAGUAGAUUUGUAUUUUCGUACGCUACAAAUUCCUCUAAUUCUUUCUCCAAUUAAUAUAGUUCAUAGUUUAUCCCUAAUAGUUGCUAAAAUGAAAGCCUUACAUAUAACUCUCAAUAUUGAGAGUUAUAAGACAAAUGAAACUUGGAUGAAAGUCUUAAAACUCUCGAUAUCGAGAGUUAUAACCCUUUUUCAAGGAUUGAGACUCUACCCCCUUAGCCACCGUUUGGUUCGGAGUUAAGUAAAAACUUGUUAUUUCAGAAAUAGAGUUAAGUUCAAGAUUAAGGUGGGGUUAGAAUAAUUUUGUGUUUGGUUGAAAAUUGAGUUUAGCCCAGAUAUAGAUAAAAUAAUAUUUGAUUGGAAUAGUUAGGAUAAAAUGGAUAGUGAAUAAAAUAGUACUUUGUUUGGUUGGAGUAGUGAGGCCACCCCCCAAAUUGGGUGUUUGGGAAUAAGUUCGGGGUUAAGGGGUUAUUCCGCCUCUUAACCAACCAAACGGGUGCUUAGAGUUUAAUUAAUUAAUUGUUUUUUCGGUUUUAAUAUCGAAAAAAAAGAAGAGUGAAAAGAUAAGUGGGAUAAUUUUAGGCAUUGAAUAGCGAUGUUGUAAGAUUACGACCAAAGAAAGGUUGUAGAUGAUCGUACAUGAUUCAUUAAUUUUGAUUUUUGUUUUUUCUCUUUUUUCGAUUUGAGAUACAAGAUUUAAGCACUGGGAAAAGAUUCAAACGCAUGCACUAGUACUCCUUGUUAAUGUUUUUGUUGCGACUUGCAUGGUGUGCAGUGUGAAAAACGUGCUGUGAGCCCCACUUCUUAUUAAUUAACUUAGUUAUUGCUAUAGCUAAUUUUGAUAAUACUAUUAUGUAAAUUUAUUAAAUCUAAAUCAUUUUUCGUAAUUAAAUUUGGUAAAAUUUAAUUUAUCUGAUAUGUCUCUAUUAAAACAAAUUAAGAGUUACAUUAACAUCACCCUCCGUAGCUCAUCAUAUAUACACUUGUCAGAGAGUUUUUUUUUUUUUUUUUUAAAAAAAAAGAAGCUACUGGAAUGUGUUAGCAAAUAAUAAUAUUUAUUUUGUAUCUGAAUCAAUAAAAUUAGUCCGUUUUCGAUUACUACUCUUCUGUCUCACGCUAAGUCGGGGAAAUGCUUUUAUUUAACUAAUGUGUACGGGCCAGCAUCUUGGGAUGGGAAAGAGGAGUUUUUUGCAGAGUUGGCACAGCUUAAAUCGCAGUGUGUAGGAAAAUGGAUCAUUUGCGGGGACUUCAACAGCGUUAGGGAACUGGAGGAAAGGAGGGGGAAGACUUGGAGUGUUAAAGCUAUGGCGUUAUUCAAUGACCUUAUCAGGAAGCUAGCGUUGAUCGACCCACCUAUGAUUAAUCAAUCUUUCACUUGGUCCAACAUGCAAGAUAACCCAACCCUCGCGAAACUCGAUCGAUUCCUAGUGUCGACGGAGUGGGACCUAGAAUUUCCGUUGACCAAGGUGGAAGCUCUCCCCCGCAUCACGUCGGACCACUGCCCCAUUCUUUUAACCGUCGAGAGGAUGAACAAAGGGAAGAAUAAACUUUUUCGGUUCGAAGAAAGCUGGCUCAACCAUGGAGAUUUAUAACCAAGCUCCUGAAUUGGUGGAAGGAGGGAGCCUCAAAAACUCAGCUGUGCUUACUUUCACUGCAAAGUUGAGACAUUGUCGACAUAGAAUUAAGGAAUGGUGCAAUAACGAGUUCUACAGUAUUAGAGGGCUUAAAAAUCCCUAAUGGAUGAGAUACAACAGUAGACCUUGGAGGACAGUGUUUUUUAUCUUAACAAAAUUGAUCGGCGAAAGAGACGAGUAAAAGAGAACUAAGAAGUUGUCAUUAACGAUGAAGCUUCCCUGUGGAGAUCCGCGGCUAAUCAGCAUUGGUUACGGGAUCGGGAGGGCGAGGCAACACUAAAUACUUCCAUAGUAUAGCUAAUGGAAGAAGAAAAGCUAACAGGAUCGGGGUGGUUGUCGAUAACGGACUCGUUUACCAAACACGAAGAAGGACAAAAAGGAUUACUUUUAUCAUAAAUUUAAAGAGCUUACUCGACAGACAUGAUGAGGUCAGCUGAUUUCGGGAUUGGAGUAGGCUUUUUUCCACAAAGCGGCGUUACGGCUCCUAUGCUCAGGAGGCUAACGCGAACACUUCAACAUUACUGAAAUAAAGAAUGCGCGGUUUUCCAACUGGGAAGUGAUAAAGCUCCGGGCCGGAUGGGUUCCACUAAGAUUUUACCAAACCUGGGAUACCAUUAAGAGUGUAUUUACUCAGACGUGAUUCCAGGAAUUUUACGAAGGCUGGAACGACUGUCUACGUCACCAAUCGACUCACCUUUAUCUGCCUAAUCCCCAAGAAGGAAGGGGCGAGAAACGGCGACGACUUUCGACCAUUAGCCUCCUCAACGGCAUUCGGAAAAUACUGUCGAAGGUCUUAGCCAAUAGACUCGACGAGCGGUUUUUGAGUGAACUAAUUUCCCGACUCAAUCAGCUUUUGUGAAAGGGAGGAGCAUCACUGACGCUUUCGUUACAGUUUCGGAAAUCCUGGGGUGGGCUAGUAGAAGAAAAUCGAGGGGGUCGGUAUAAAGUGGACUUCGAAAAAGCUUUGAUGGAUACAUUGCCCUUUCUUUUCAGUGUCCUCACGUGGUGGGGAUUUGAUUUAAAAUGGUGCGGAUGGAUCGAGCAAUUGUGUGCAACGCGAAAGUAGCCAUAUUGGUUAAUGGUGAGGCGACCAAGUGUUAAACGAAAGAGGAGUUCGCCAAGGAGAUCCGUUAUCACCACUCCUGUUCCUCAUAGUGGGCGGACGGCAUGCUUGGCCAGAAUGACCAAUGAGGCCACUUUUAAUAACCUAUCAUGGGUAUUGGGCGUCUGACGAAAGCAAAGACUCCCUCACACAUUCGCAGGACGCACCUUUCUUCUCUUGGAGGCUAGGAAAAAAUAUAUGGCAAAUCUCAGCUUGAUGUGGCGUUUUGAGUGGGCUUCGGGGAUGAAAAAUUAAUAGCGGGAAGACAGAACUCUACUACCUUGGACAGGUUGAGGGCAAAGCGAGAGCUCGCGGCAGUUGCUCGACUGUAGAGUGGGUACUCUUCACCACUUACCUAGGCUUCCCUCUUUCCCUAGACCCCCAACUAAGGAGGUAUGGAGAGGAUCAUUCAGAAAUUGCGGAUAGAUUGAUGGAUGGCAAGCCAAAGCUUCUAUCACGAGGGGUAGACUGGAUCUUUGGUCAACGCGUUCUUACCAACUACUUACCGCUGUAAUUUACUUUCGGUGUUCAAGAUGCCCAAAUGGGUAAUCAGAGUAUUGAAGCCUUACGUAGAGACUUUUUCUGGAAGGGUAAGCAAAUUUCGUUGGCAAGGGACGUUUAGGUGGCAUGGAAGAAUGUCUGUUUGAGCAACAAAUCGCAGGCGGGCUGGUAUUCUGGGAUGUCGAUAUCAUGAAUCGGGCUCUCCUGGUCAAAUGGUGGUGGAGAUUAACACACGGUCCACACCCAAUGCGUGGGUCAAGAUUGAUCGAGCUUUAUAUUACCAAGAAGACCGUCCCUCUCGGGAAGGAAAAUGUUUAGACCCUCUCGAAAUUGGUGGAAAGGAGUUCCUUAACCACCAAUGCAUCUUCAAUUGGGGAUAUCUUAUAAGUUGGGCAAUGGGAGCUCUAUAGACUUUUCGUCUAAUCGAUGGUGCGGGGAAUAGCUCUGAAAACGUCUUUUCCGGAGAUAUACGCUGAUGACGAAUCGUAAACACUCUUGGUUGGGGAUUGCUUCGAUAGUCUGAGGACUGGAAAGAUGGGAUAGAAUUCUGGGCGAUGAAGUUCGCUUCUACAACAGGGUGGCAGCCAACCUUGUCGGCGCUCAAGAAUGAGAUGGUAUGUAUAAGAUUGUGCAGAGACCGGAUAGGCUAUGGUGGAGAUGGAGUGCAAAGGCGAUUUUUCGGUCAAAUCGGCCUACGGCAUGUGAGCGACAGGGGAACAAAGGACGGACGGGGCUAUCAGAUUUGGAGACUCGAAUACCUCUAAAGUCAAAGUAUUUUGCUUGCUUGUCCAAGAAAAGGAUCUCACAGCUGGUAACCUUGUAAAGAGAGGGUGGACUGGCGACACACUUUGUGUACUAUGCAGUGCCCAUGAGGAGUUCGGUGGACCAUCUGUUUACUCAUUGUGUUUUUACCAAGUUCAUCAUGGUCAUGUGGCGGGUGGAGGGCGUGCAGGGGGGUGAGCUAGUGACGACGGAUCAUGUCUGGGAUAUGGUGGGACCAGGAAGGACGGUAUAACAAGAGCAACAGCCUUCCGGAACUGGUUGCUUGCUAGUGGACAUUUGAAGUGUUAGAAUGAUCUGAUUUUUCGAAAUAUCCUACGGAUCCGAACUCUGGCUGUACAAAGGAUAAAGCAGUUGUUACUUUCGUGGGAAAUCCUCCUCCGACGGCAGUAGACCGUGCCGACCUUAGCAGGGUCUUUUUUUUAUUUUUAUUUUAUUUUAUUUUAUUUUAUUUACUUUUUUUCGUGACCCUAGUUGGUCUUUGUUUCUUCCGAGGCCCUAGUUGCCUCACCUCUGUAGCCUAGUUCAUCAUCAAUGAAUGAAGCAGUAGCACCGCCUACCUAUUCUCAAAAAAAAAAAAAAAAAAUUCUCCAUAUCGUAUAUGUCUCUACAAAACAUGCCUCGUGAGUUGCUGAUGUGUUUGCAUAUCAAUAUUUUGGAUUGUAUUUAUAUAUGGACAAAUAAAAAUAUCACUAUGAUUGUUCAUGCUAUAUCUAUUACUAUAUAUAAAAAGCACGUUAUUCAAUUUGUGUGUCGGUCUGUCGACAGACCCAUUUUUCGGCGAAAAAAUUAGCGCAUAUUUUUCUCUUUCCGUACGAAAAAUUUUAAAUAUAAGAAUAAAAAUAGAAAUAGGACAGCAAUGAAUACGUAAGUUCUCUAUAACAGAUUACUGAUGUGAAAUUCUAAAUAUAAAUUUUUUCUAUCUAUUUCAAAAGUAAGUUUUCUAUAACAGAUUACGGUGUGAAAAUUCUUUUUUAAGAUAAGCGAUUUUUAUUUUUUUAUUUAAUUUCAAAAAUUUAUUUCUAACAGAUUUAUUUUUCUAUUUAAUUUCAAAGUAAUUUUGCAUUAGAGAUUAUUGUUAAUUAUUUAUCAUUUAAAGCAUAUAUUCUUAAUAGCGGUUAUUAUUUUAAAUUUUUUAGAUACAUAUUUGGCAAUCAUAUAAAAUAUGGCCUAAAAUUAAAAAAUAAUUUAAAAAAAUAACUUUUUCUAAUAAUAUUAUGUGCAUUUGCACGUACAUUUUACUAGUAUAUAUAUAUUAUAUAUAUAUAUAUAGAGUGAGGUACUAUGUUCUAGAAGCACGGAGCCUUCCGUGCUUCCAGGUCGUUUUCGAUGUUGCGACUUUUGAAUCGUCGAUCGGCUCGUUAAACUUGAUCUAGAGUAUUUGAAGUAUUUAGAAAUAAAUUUAUGAUUUUUUUGAUAUCAUUUGCUAGUGAUCGAAGGGGCUCAAAAUCAAUAAUUUUAAUGGCCGUUAGUGAGCCGUUGUGCAAUUUACGGGCGUAGAAAUAUCCAAAUCACGUGAAAUUUUGAUAGAAAAUUUUUUAUACUAUAUAAAUAAGAUCAAUAUCUUUGAUCUAAAAUUUUAAUGUAAUAUUGUCAUGUUUUGUAAGAUAUUAUUUUUAACGUUGAUUUUGAGCCUCUUCGUUCACUAGGCAAAUAAUAUCAAAAAAUCACAUAAUUUAUUUCUAGGUGCUUCAAAUAUCUUAGAUCAAGUUUAACGGAGCCGGAUCGACAAUUCGAAGUCGCAAUAUGAAAACGAUCUUGGAAGCAUGGAAUUGCUCCGUUGCUUCAGAAGCAUAAUAACUCCUCUAUUACUACUAUAUAUAAUUAUAUAUAUAUAUAUAUAUAUAUAUAUAUAUAUAUAUAUAUAUAUAUAUAUAUAUAAUAAUAUAUAUAUUUAGCAGCUUAUAGAAUAAUAUUUUUGGAAGCUCGGCAUGCGAGAUGCAUGGCAAACAUAAAUAUAUAUAGCUUCUAAGAGGCUAGGUCAUUGUUAGGGUUUUAAGUCCUAGCACUCUAUAACAUUUUUGUAGUGGAAAGUGUCGGUUUUAUGAUAAGCUUUUUCCCUGAGGUAGAGAUUUUCCAUAAUAACUUCACCAUAAUUAUAAUAAUUAGUAUCUUAAAAAAAUAAAUACACAUGCUAUGCCAAGUAUAGUCAAUUUGUUAAGGAGUUUUAGAGAAAUUAAUGUUAUCAAUCGACGAGGCACUUACCAUAGCGCGUACAUGUCGUAUUAGGGCAUGCGUUUAUAUAUAUAGGGCAAUUGGCAUGAACAGUCACAUAACACACUCAUUCUAAUUUAAUUCAAAAUAUCUAAUGCUUUCGUAUCUAUAUAUAUUGUCAUAUGGGAGUAUCUACUAAUGAAUUUGUUUCAUAAUUAGUGCUGCAGUGCGGUAGCCGAUCAAUUAAAAUAGUCGACGGUCAUCAGUGGAAGAAUGGUAGAUUCCAAUUGUCUUCGCAUCAUCGAAAUAUCUAACAAAUUCUAAACGUGCAAUUGUUGGUAGGUCCUUUCCAUUAACCUAACAAGCUUAGCAGCAAAAUUUUGGUGAGGAGAACCAGCAUUUCAUGCAUGGUGGUGAAGAACAUCUAAAUGGUUGGAAACAUAACUAGCUAGCUAGCUACUACGUACUAGGUAGGGAUAUUUAAUAUUUUCCACUUGGUAUAUUAUAUAUAUAUUAUAUAUAUAUAUAUAUUAUAUUUAUAUAUAUAUUAUAUAUAAUAUAUAUAUAUUAUAGUAUAUAUAUAUAAAAUAAUAUAUUAGGCUACACCUAAGUGAAAAUCCCAACUUUGUAGCUUUCAUAUUAAGCCUUUUUUAUGUCUCUUGAUCCCUCUUGGCCACAAUAUUAGAAUCCAACACACAACUCCCAAAAAAAAAAAAAAAAAAAAAAAUUAAAAAUUAAAAAUUAAGAAUCCUACCUAAUUUUUGCUGAAGAUUACUUUGGAGUGACAGUGAUUAGCCUAGUUCCAUGGUGAUCGAUUUAGUAAUUUGAGUAAAGAGAGUUUAGUCUUAGUGCUUCUAAAAAUACUUAUUGUUGAACACUAUUACAUGAAGUAACUCUCUUGUUAAGAUACUUUUAAUUGUUUAUUGCUGUUGCUGUUAAGAAUAAUAGUCCUAUAUUUGAUAUAAAAUAGAAACAUUGAUCUCUAUAUAGUAUAGAGAGUAUCUCAACCUAAAAGCUUUUAAUCUUUUGUGUUGUGUCUGAGCCCUCUUAAUUAAUAUGAUAUCAAAAUUUGGUUUACACCCCCUUAAUUUGUUUAUGCUCGUUAUAUGCUAGUCGCAUCUAGUUUGUGGAUUGGGUUUGUAUGACAUUUGGUACGUGUCAAAAGCAGGUGUUAAGAAUAAUAGUCUCAUAAUGGAUAAAAAAUAGAACCUUAACAGUUGUGAGAAGCAGAAAUUCUUUAUUAACGAGUUUGGAUCUUAUUAAUUUGGAUUGGUUUUGUUCAAAAGUCUCGUGGAAUCCAAAUCCAGAAGUAAACUACUCUAAUAGUUUUAUCAUGUUUAGGUCAAAAUAUGACUAAAUAACGAUCCAAAUACACUAGUAAAAUGCGAUCCAAGCGCAAAUUAUAAUAGCACACUUACAUUGAAAGAUUUUUACAUAAAACCAAAGUGACAAUAUUGAAAUAUAUAAAUGAUGCAAAAAAAAGAAAAAAAAAUCAUCCAAAUUAAUUGUGACAUAGAUGGAAAUGCAUGCUACAAAAGACAGAGUCAAAAAACCACCCACAAAGAACCAAAUGAGGUAUUAAUAUGAAAAUUCACUACACCGGGAGACCUUUAGUUAAUUUUGUAAAUAUACCUUUAAUAAUUUUAAGAGUCAAAAAAAGCCAAAUUUAGUUUUUUUUUUUUUUCACUGCCAAAAAUCCUCAAUUUUUCACUGUUGAACAUUUAACCUUUCUAUCUUGAUGUUUUUGUAACUAAAAGUACUAAAUAAUACGAAACAAUCGUUAUUCUUCAAAAGCUUAAACUAAUAGAAAAUAGAGUUUUAAAUAUUUUUAUAUUUAACAAAAGAUUAUUAUAGUAGAAAGAAUUUAUAUGUACAUAAUUAAUUAAUGUAGCAGCUAAUUAAUGAAUUUAUAUGUACAUAAUUAAUGAAUGUAGCUGCUAAUUAAUGAGUGACAAAAUGGUGUUUUAUGCAUAGGAAUAUAUUAUGCAAAAAGGUGCAAGUUGAGAAACUGCGCCGUUAUUUACUGUUUGGGGUGUGGUUUUACUAUAGCAAUAGGCAAUGAUAUAUUCCAAGUAAAACGAUUCUAGUAAGAGCUAGCACAGUGGAAUCAUUGUUGAAACAAAUUAAGUCACUUGAAGAGGGCCUCAAAAACUUUUCUAUUUAAGAUUUUUCUAAUAGAUUCCUACUAUAUAUAUAUAUAGUUCAAUUCAAUAUUGACAUGAACCCUCCUUUUCUUUCUUUUCUAAUUUUUCAAACAUGUAGCUUUUAUUCCUUAAUAAAUGGUUAGAGAGAGAAAAAGUGUUGGUGAAUAUAUAGCAUAGUAGCUUUCUAAUCCCAAAUGAGUAAUAUAAAGAAUAGGCCUAGAGCAAUACAAUAAUAGUCAUAGGCAAAUGGGCCAAACUUUUAUCGCCGUUACGUCGCAUUUUUCAAAAUUUAAUCAUGCUACGCUCAUUUGUGUCCUCUCAUUUAUGUCAUAUUAGGAAAUGGUGGGGAACCACUAAUUAAUAAUAAUUUUUUUUUUUUUAGGGAAGGGAAAAACCUCUCUUCUCGAGAUCUACUCCAUUGCCAAAAAUAACAUCUACGCAUGCUAUUCUAGAAUAGCCCAGAAGUAGAGCAUUGGCUUUGCCUUUUCCAGGUGCAAACAUGUACACACGGUUGGCGGUGUAGCUUAAUGAUUGGAUUAACUGUUUAUGAGAUACUAUAUAUAUACCUUCUAAUUAAUCCUUUUGUACCCCCUAUAUAUAUCAUUUUGGUAAUUAAUGAUCUAACUAUUGUUCAUUAGUGUUUUGACUCUUUUUGACUCUUUGUUUACCUUUUAAGCUUUCUAUUUCAUGUUGGUGUAAUUUUUAUUGACCAAACACAUGAGUAUACGCAUGUGCAUGAUCUAGGAGGAGGGUCUAUGUGUUUAAUUAAGUUUGGUUUGAGUCGAGGAAUACCACUCUAAUUCGUGGUAGGAUUCUGAAUUUUGAUAUAUUCGAAUCUUAUAAAUAGAAUCUUUGUAAUCUUUUUUUAAAUUAAUAGUUAAUGAAAUUGAAACAAAAUAUAAUCUCUUUUCUCUUUGUUCCCUCCUCUAGUAUUUUACAUCUCAUCUUCUCCUGCAGGUGAUCACGGAUUAAUUGCUAUGCUAUUCCAAGAUCUUCUCUUUUUAAAGUUAAAGGACUUGUUUAGCCCAACAGUGCGUUUUGUUUAUGGUGCGUGCACUCCGGUCUGCAAAUGUAUUUAUCAAUUUUCGAUAUAUUGCUAACCGUUAUAAAAUUCUUCAGUAUCAUACAACUCUCACCAUAAAAAACAACUCCUGCAUAGUUUGGAGGGGCAAAAGAUACUUAAAGGCAAUGUCUGGCUCGAAUCGGGCUUGAGCCGCUCAAGAGAACUUUAACUUGGAUUCGAAUCACAAUCCACCGACAUAAAAGAUAUCUGAGAUUGGAUUUUUCGCAUGUCGAUAGUCAUAUUUUGGCCACGUGACACAAAGUACGUAUUAGGUCAUGCGAAAUUGAACUUCCAUAAUAAGUAUAAUUGAUGAAUAAUAUUGUCUAUGAGAUCUGUCUUAUAUGUUAAGUAGGUCGGAUAGUCGGAUCGGAUUCGAAAGGGAAUUAAUGAUUGGACUGUGGAUGAUUUUGAGUCAAAUGAUUUGAAGGAUUAAGUUGAGGAUUUGAGUGCGAGGGCAAGCUAAAAUUUUUGAGCCACAUAUUGUGCCAGUCCAAAGACUCACAACUAAUUGAUAUGUUCCAUCAGUUUGGGUCAAUAGCAUUCUCUCUUUGAACUGCAUAAGAUAUAUAGGUUUAAAUUUGGCUACAUAAAUGUUAUUAUCAAAGGUCGAUACAACUCGACGUAACGUAGCCCAUCUCCACCCCCUUGAUAGAAUCUACCUAGGAUGUUAGUGACUUGAGCUCAAUCCAAAAGUUUCCAAAUUUAACUCAAAAUUUUUUGACACGGCUUAGAAAAAGACUUUAUUCUUUGUUUCAGUUCUCUUGAUUUGGAGCUUAUAAUACGAUACGACAAAUAUAGUAUCAAAAGAGGAAUAUGCUUAGUCAAAACAGUUUUUAUGUCAGCUCUCUUUUUGAAUUUCUCUGAUCUCUCUUACCUACCUCGUUUUUUUUUUUUUUUUGCUGAUCUUGCUCUCUAGCUCCAAAUCAUUCUCUAAUCUCUCUUUCAUCAAUUAUAACACUUUAUGCACUGCUUAUGCAGUAUUUUUAUAGUCAUGAAUGUGCGAAUCAUAUACUAUAUAAAUCAAUCAUUACACAGUAUAUUUAUACCAGCAUAUCAGUGACUUUUUAAAAACCGAAAUACAGUUUUUAAUUAUUUCAAUAUACAGAAUUUGUAUACAGAAGUACGAUAUUUACAUGUGCUUUAAAUAUAAAAUCCAGCACACAGAUGCGUAUGUGAUAUAGUUUUCCAUUAGAUACGGUAGAUUUGUACGUACGCAUCCCCACUCGUAGGCGUACGGCGGCCAUACUGGACAACUAAUCCGCCGUACCACCACGUCGUGUUGUAGAAAACGAAGACGUUAAAACAGAGAGACAAGACGUGAAAAUGGCGACCCACCCUUCCAUCCGUCCCUUCAUCGAUCAUAUCACAGCCGUCCACUCAAAGCCCAAAAACCCAAAAAAAGAAAAAGAGAGAGAGAGAGAGAGAGAGAGAGAGAGUUUCGACGACACGCGUAUCCGUGGCUGGCUUGGCCCCCGUAGCCGCGGAGUGGUGCGCACGCCACCCACGCAAUACUAAAAUAAAUUAAAAUAAAAUAUUGCAUUAGGAUGACACGUGGGGCCCAUUUAUCAGAGUCUCUUUUGUGUCUUACGAAUAUUUAUGUCAAUUUACACUACCUUAUUAUUAACAACCCAAUCAUAUCUAUCUUUUUUUUUUUUAUAUACAAUAAAAAUAUUACGAAAAACAUUACUAUAUCACACUUGCAUUAGAUUAUCAGUAACAUACUAAUUAUAUUUUUAUUCUUGAUGAAAUAGCAAUAUAACUGAUUGGAGAUACUGUAACAGUAAUAUAACUGAUGUAUUUUAAAUUUUUUUUCGCAUCACACAUGCGCACGCUCUCUCUCUCUCUCUCUCUCUCUAGAAAAGUCAAAGAGUUUCUAAGAAAGAAAGAGAAAGGCAGAAACGGAGAAGACGCAUCCGUCGUACCGCGUAACCGAAAGGCGCGAAUUUCCGAUGCGGUGCAGGAGCGGAACAGGCCGAGAAAACCGCUCCCUGCACCCGGCGCACCGUCGCACUCGUGCGCCGCGGAGUGCGGUCCACGGGCGGAGGCGUGGACCGGGUGCAGGGAACGACGGGGCGAGGAACAGACGCUGCCGGGAUGGGAUAUCUCUAUGGUGAGGAGUGUGGGGGUGGACCGUGGACCGUGGACCGGAGGAAGGCGCGCGCGCGUGUGCGUGCACGCGUGCGUGUGCGUGUGCGUGUGCGUGUGUUGGGGAAGGGAAGGAGUAGGGGGGGGUGGGGAAGAAUGAGUAGUCAAAUGUCACGUCCAACUCCCACAAAUCAUAAGACGGUCAGUGAUGGGUCAAUCACUUGGAUCCUUCCCUCCUGCCACACAACACGGAGCAAAGAGUGCAGAAAGCAGUGGUGCUAUUAACAAAACUGAUUUUAUUCACAUUACUGAUUAACUAAUCACUAGCUCCAAUUUAAUUUGUUCAUCAAGUUUUUUAUUAUUAGUGCAAUUAGUUAUGCAACACUCUCUAUUAAGCACAAGCACAAGCACAAGCAUGUCGCAUUAGCACUUACAGCACAUCAUCCAAUAAUCAAUAAAUUAUUUUUUUAUUUAAAAAAUUAAAAUUAAAGUAGUUUUUUAAUAAUCACAAUAGGACGGAUGAAUCUAAAAAAUAUAAUUUGGUUGAUUGAAGAUACUGUAACAGCAAUAUAAUCGGUGCAUUCUGGACCCAUCGGGUGUUGGAGGAUAAGAAAUUAAGAACCAGCGCCGAAUCUGCAUGGGUCGCCCUGACCCUGGCUUGGUCGCACGUGCCACGGGGAGGUCCGCGUCGCACGUGCGAGGGCCCUGGCCCUAUUUUGGCGCGCUCGGAGGCCCCACCCCCCCGCCCCUCCCCGGCCCCUCUCGCUCAGGCGCGCAUGGCUCCCUUGCCCCCUCCCAAGUCCCACCCCAGGCUCUACUCCCAAGAACUCCAGAAAUUUUUUUUUUAAAAAAAAAACCAAUAAACUUAUAAAAAGCCAAAAUUAUUAAAGAUUUUUUUUAAAAAAAAAACCCCAAAAAAGAAAAUUCACAGCCUCUCUACACGAAGCACGAUGCCCAGAUCACCAGCACCCCCCCUCUAAGCCUCAGUCUUUUCCACCACUCACUCUCUCUCUCUCUCUCUCUCUCUCUCUCUCUUUCUCUCUCUUUCUGUGUGUGUGUGUACAUGCAUGUAGUAAUGUUUUUAGUAUCUACUGGGUUUUUCUCUGCAACAGUCGCUUGUAAGUGAGACUUAACUCGGACUCCUCCAGAGACAAAGCUAAGCUACUCUACGACCGGCGCACACUUAGCAACACCAGUAGCUUGGGUACACUCCCCCCCUGCAAGAAACAACUUUUGUAAGUGCCCUCCCUUGAAAUAGGGCUCGUGCCCGGGGCAAAAUUACAAACCUUGCCAUUAUCCUCAUCAUUAUUUGAGUUAACCAAUCUGAUACCAUAUUAACUAAUAAAAAAAUAACUCAAAAAGUUUUCAUGUUCUUUUAUCCUUAUCAUUAUUAUUAUUAUUUUUUUUUUCCGCUGUUGUUGUUAGCGAAGACUAGUCGUUAUCGCUAUACAUUGGCCCUGAUCGAUCAUCGAUCCCACCACACGUCGGGGAUUAGUCUUGAUGAGAUUACUUUGUCGCGCGCGCGACAGAGAGAGAGAGCAUCUUGCGAGCCAACUAGCGAAAGCUUAAAAAAGGGAUCGAUGGAGUUCGGGACAUGAACCAUCAAAUGUUACGAUCACUAACCGAGCAUCGCGUGGAAGGACAAUUUCUAAAAAGGGCGCGGUGUUGCGUGACAGAGAAAUUUGUAAGGGUUUUAAUUGCGACUGUUUUGAUUUUUAUAUGAUUACUGCGUUGUCCAUCUGAGCCGGAAUCGGCGAAGAGAGAGCAAUGUGAUUAAAGGGGAAACAUUAUUGGCAUCACACACAUUAUUGGGCCCCUCUAGCUAGGGCUUAAAGCAAUCACACUAUUGCAGGUGCAAAGAAAAAAAAAAAAAUCUCAAAAAUCAUUAGUUUUGUGUGGGACCUUGUUUUUAUUAUUAUUAUUUAAUGUGGCCCUGCUGAUUCGUGGACCAAUGAGCAUCGAAUCGAGUCACUCACAAGCAAUAACCAGCUAGCAAUUAGGCAAGGGAUGGUAUUGGCUUUAGAGAGGACAAAUUGGAGCAUAUAUUUUAUUCAAUUUUAUCCAUAGUUUGACCUCGAAAUGUCUAUUUAAUUAAAUAUUUUAUAUGUUUCUUACUUAGAUCAGGAAUCGGUCCGUAUCUAUGCUAUUGUUUUUAAUUUGAUUGCCUUUAAUUAAACAAUACAUGGCAAGGCACAACUUACUAUUAUAAAUCACAUCACUAAUCAUCUCGCUAAUCAUCUCGCUAAUCAUCUUUAUUCCAAUGAAAGUUUGUUCCGUUACUAAUUAACGCUAUCAAAGCCCUUAUUUGACCUGGCUUUUUCUUUAGCUUUACGUUAAAGCUAAAAUUAAGAUUGAAGUUUUUGCUGCGAGGAAGCUGAGUUUAUUUAUUUAUUUAUUUAUUCCAGAGGAAAGAGCGGCAGUCAAAUUAACAUUUUUGUAGAAGCUUUUUUCGAGGAUCUAGCUUUUUUAUAUAGAAGAAAGUUAGAUUAGAAUUAAAGUACAUAAAAAAGCUUUGUUUGGAUCGUUUAUUGGAUGCUUUUUUUGAUGAUGCAAUUAAUUAAUUAACUAAUUAAUUAGCCAAUCAAGCUUCAUUGACGUAGAGGUUGCAUCUUCAACCUCUAAUUAAUUAACUAAUCUGGUACAUCGAAUAUCUUAGCCCUUAAUUAUUAACUAUAUUUCCUAGGUAAGGAUUAUUACUAUAUAUAUAUAUAUAUAUAUAUAACAGUAAAGUAGAUAAGUUGGGAAACCGUUAUGUGUUCCAACGAAAAAAAAAAAAAAAUCCUACUUUAAUAUCACUUGAUGUAGAUAACUAUCCAAGCUGGAAAUUUAGAUAGUUAUGCCAUUUAUUUCUUACUUAAUUUCUGCUGAUUUUAUCUGUUAAAUGGUGUUAAUUGCGUCAUAUUGACAAUAUUUAAUCUCCUCUCCAAAUUAUUUUAUGUAUUUUAAUAACUAUGCCUUUUAGCCCAGUUUUAAUACUAGGAUAACUUUUUAGGUAUAGAAUUUUCUAAUAUAAUUAUAAUUAAGGAGUUUGAUUUUUUGAUUCUUUAAAGAUUUUACUAUUCAUUAUAGUUAGGAUAACAUAUUCUACCCUCGAGCUAGGUUAUUUAUUUUAUUCUAAAAAAAUGACUUGACAAUUAAAUAUAAUAUUUUAUUUUAAACAUUUGGUCACAUUUCUUCUUUAUUAGAAAUAUAAUUUUUUGGUAUAAAUUAAAAAAGUAUAUUGAACAAGAUAUUCAUGUAUCUAGAGCUUAAUUUCAUAAGAGCAAUAUCAAAUGGAAUUAUUCGCUUUCAAAUUUCAAUUACACAGGCUAAUUAAUCUACUGAUUUGUUAAUUGUCAACAUUUAUGUACUCGGAACAAUUAACUAAUUUAGGUCAUCCUUUUUAUCAAUAUAAAACAAAAUUUUAAAAAAACUCGUUUGAUAGCGUGUGGCAUAUUUCAUGAUAUUAUUAUUUGUACAGGAAAUGCAGAUAGGCUAUGUCUUUGUCUGCCUUAAUAAUGCAUAGAAUAGUAGAAUCAUUUUUGCAAAUGAAAAAAAAAAAUGGAAUUAAUAAUUUCAACUACUAAAAUCCAAUAUAUAUUAGAGCUACUCUUUUUUUCUCUCUCCAUGACUCAUAAGUAUGGUGUCUUAUUUGAAUAAUAAUAUGCGAGCAUAUUGAUAUAUUAUAUACAGGUAGGCAGACUCAAACAACUAUUGAUAUAUACAAGGAACCUAGAAGUGGUGCAAGAAGCAAAUAUUGCUCGUAUUUGAAUAGUGUCUUACUUGCUAUUAAUUAAAAGAAUUAAUUCUAAUAUUGAGAAAUAAAUUUAUUAAAUAUAACAUUUUUAUAUAGUUAGAUAUGUUUAUAAUGUAAAAAAAAAAAAGAAAGAAAAGAAUCUGGUUAAUAAUAUAAUGCUACUCUCCAAUUGGAUAUGCACACAGUAAGGAACAUGGAAGGUGGAGGGCAAUAAUCAUCAUCUAUAUCAUUUUGGAAGAGUGUCACUCUUGUUAUUUGACUUGCCAACUAGGGUUCUUCUCCCGCACCCAAUUUCACCCCCUUCCCCCCCCCCGCUCCCUUUCCAUUUUCCCUCUUUUCACACACCCAAUAAUGUAAGUACCCUGCACAGCCACCCAAAUUGCUCCCUCUUUGAUCUCAACCCCACGCUAGCUCCACCCCCUCCCCGUACACACCAAGAAAAGAGAUAGAGAGAAAAAAAAAGAGAGCAUCAUCAGCGGUGUGAGAAAGAGAUGAGGAGUUCUUCUUCUUCUUCUUAGAGUAAGAAGAAGAAGAAGAAGAAGAAGAAGAAGUAGAGUAGUAGUUUGUGAUAGUAUAUAUAUAUAUAUAUAUACAUAUAUCAAUAUAUAUAUUAGGUUGGAAUUAAUCGGGAGUAAGGAUCGAUGGAGGAGACGCUGAAGACGCUGUCGCUGGACUACCUGUACCUGCUGAUCAACGGGCAGGCGUUCAGCGACGUCAGCUUCAGUGUGGAGGGCCGACUGGUGCACGCGCACCGCUGCAUCCUGGCGGCCCGCAGCCUCUUCUUCCGCAAGUUCUUCUGCGGGCCCGACCCCCCGCCGCCCGGCCUGCUGUUCCAGGACCACCACCACCACCACCACCACCACCACCACAGCCCCCGAUCCCCCUCCGCCUCCUCCCCCCGCGGCGGAGGCGCAGGCGGCGGGGCGGGCGGCGCGGCGGGCCCGGGCGGAGCAGGCGGCGGCGUCGUGAUCCCGGUGAAUUCGGUGAGCUACGAGGUCUUCCUCCUGCUGCUCCAGUUCCUGUACAGCGGCCAGGUGUCGGUGGUGCCGCAGAAGCACGAGCCCCGCCCCAAUUGCGCCGACCGCGGCUGCUGGCACACCCAUUGCACCGCCGCCGUCGACCUCGCCCUCGACACCCUCGCCGCCGCCCGCUCCUUCGGCGUCGAGCAGCUCGUCCUCCUCAUUCAGGUCCCGAUUCAUCCACCACAACCAUCCCAACCUAGAUCUGAAUUCUUCUCCUCCUCCUCCUUCUUCUUCUUCUUCUUCUUCUUCUUCUUCUUUGCAUCAUCAUCAUCAGUUUUUUAUGUGUAUAAAAUUAAAUACCUAUAUGCAUAUACAUAUAUGUAUAUAUAUAUAUAUAUAUAUAUAUAUGUUGGGAUUGCCAACAGGAGAAAAGAAAAGAAAAGAAAAGAAAAGGAAAGGAAAGGAAAAAAAAUCUGCAUUGAUUUGCCCCCUUUUUAUUUUAUUUUAAUUUUAUUUUAUCUUUCCUUUCGUCUCCUCCUUCCUGCUGCUACUGUUGCCAACAGCGGCUAUCUACAGUGAGGAUCACUCGUCAAUCCUAUAAUUGGACUUCCGUUUUCCAAAUCUCACACUCGCCAUAAUUAGGGUUUCUAAACUUAGGGUUUCGCCUUUCCCCAUGGGGCCCUGGCCGACCUCAUGCAGCAUUCCCGGCCGCCAAUUUCUCGAAUUGGGUGCCGUCUUCACCUUCCGUCGCUCCCCCGCCCAGCCCAAGCUCACGCACCGGCCGGCUUCUACAUGUAUAAAUGUAUACGAAUCGAUAGAGGGCAAUUAAUUAAUUAAUUAAUUAAUUAACUGGGCUAUAUUUUAUGCAAAGCAAGCAAGCAAGCCAGGAAGCAAGGGGACGGGAGGGGGUACUGUAGUGGCCUGCCUGCCCGCCUGCCUGCCUGAUGAUGAUUAAUUUUGGUUUUGGUUAUGGUUUUGACUGAUGAUGGAUGGAUUGCAGAAGCAGCUGGCGGGGAUGGUGGAGAAGGCGUCGAUCGAGGACGUGAUGAAGGUGCUGCUGGCGUCGCGGAAGCAAGACAUGCACCAGCUGUGGGGGACCUGCUCGACCCUCGUCGCCAAGUCGGGGCUGCCGCCGGAGGUGCUGGCGAAGCACCUCCCGCUCGACGUCGUCGCCAAGAUCGAGGAGCUGCGGCUCAAGUCCUCCCUCGCCCGCCGCCACCCCCACCACCACCACCACCACCCGCCGUUCCUCGCCCACCACCCCAUCGACAUCGUCGGCGUCGGCGUCUCCGGCGGCGACGUCGAGGAGCACCACCACAAGAUCCGGCGGAUGCGCCGCGCCCUCGACUCCUCGGACGUGGAGCUCGUGAAGCUGAUGGUGAUGGGGGAGGGGCUCAACCUCGACGAGGCGCUGGCGCUGCACUACGCCGUCGAGAGCUGCAGCCGCGAGGUCGUGGAGAUGGUCUGCCCGGACAUGGUCGCCGUCCUGCUCGACCACCACGCCGACCCCAACAUCCGCACCGUCGACGGCGUCACCCCGCUCGACAUCCNGCGGAUGCGCCGCGCCCUCGACUCCUCGGACGUGGAGCUCGUGAAGCUGAUGGUGAUGGGGGAGGGGCUCAACCUCGACGAGGCGCUGGCGCUGCACUCCGCCGGCAAGACCCCGCUCCACGUCGCCGCGGAGAUGGUCUGCCCGGACAUGGUCGCCGUCCUGCUCGACCACCACGCCGACCCCAACAUCCGCACCGUCGACGGCGUCACCCCGCUCGACAUCCUCCGCACCCUCACCUCCGACUUCCUCUUCAAGGGCGCCGUCCCGGGCCUCUCCCACAUCGAGCCCAACAAGCUCAGGCUCUGUCUCGAGCUCGUGCAGUCCGCCGCCAUGGUCAUGUCCAGAGAAGAAGCCGCCGCCGCAGCCGCCGCCGCAGCCGCCAAUUCCUCCGGCGGCGGCGGCGGCGGCGGCGGAGCGAAUAGCCCGAGCGUGGCGAUGUAUCCGAAUAUGAAUUCGGAGGCGAGCAGCUGCAACGCGAACAGCAAUAGCAACAGCGGGGUGGUGAACCUGAGCCUGGAUUCGAGGAUGGUGUAUCUGAAUCUCGGCAUGGCGGCGCAAUUGGGGUGUAAGAUGAACGAGGGGGGAGAUGAUCAUGAGAGCGCCAGCAGUAGGUCCCAAAGCGGCGGCGGCGGCGGCGGCAUUGCUCCGUCUUCAAUGUAUUCUCCUCAUGGCUACCCAUGAAAACACCUUGUAAGCUCUAAAAAGAACCUCCUUAAUUUCCCUCACUCACUCUCUCUCUCUCUCUAUCUAUCAUAUUGGAUCUUUUGCCUAUAUGAUCUGAUUAUUGUUAAUUACCUAUGAUUUGGGAAGCAAGAAAAGGGCAAGGGAUCAAUUAAUUACGCAAGGUCAAAUGAGGGAAUGGGGUUAGAAUCAGAGGUAAUGGUCGAGGUUUUAUUAAUUAGCCCCUCUUUAAAGUAAUGGUGGUUAAAUUAUGGGUGUUGUGUUUUUGAUGGGGUUGUUUGCAUAAAAAGUUUCAUCAUUAUUUUUUUAAAAGAAAAAAAAAAUUAGGACGGAGGAGGUGCGACAUGUGCAGCUGCAUUAGACCAAUGAGAUAUUUUAUUAUUAUUAUUAUUAUUUCUCUUUUUUUUUUUGUCUGGAUUUUGGGGUCCUUUGCGGUUCUUUUUGGAGUAUUGGCUCAUGGGGGGUGCAUUUGCAUGUGAGGGAUUUAGAGAGGGAGACAAGUAGAAUCUAAGUAAGCUUAUUUGAAUGAUGGAAGAGAAAUGCAGGGUCAAUCUCUUCUCUCUCCAUGGCUUGUCACCCCUUUUGUUUUUACUGCUGUUAGCUUGUUAUAGCUUUUCUAUUUUGGACAAAAACUCCUUUGUUUUUGUUUCCUCUCUCUUUCUCUCUCUCUCUCUCUUUCUCUCUCUCUCUCUCUCUCUCUCUCUCUCUCUCUCUCUCAUGCAUUAGCGUUGCUUGCUAUAAUGGUGGAUGUAUUACUCCCAACAGUUAGCAACUAUUAUUUCUACUAAUGGUAGCUGGGAUCAUGUCCAUUGGGGAGAGUGGUGUGGGUGUUCCCCUUUUUAUCCCCAUUGCCUUUUGCAGAUGGCUUAGAGCCACCCUAUUGAGGCUUUGUUCCUGAAUGGUAGGCCUUUCCAAAUAUAGAGAGUGAGCCGUGCUCUCCCACAAUAUAUAUAUAUAGUUUCAAUAGUGCAUGUAUGUUUAUACCUUUUCCUUAUCUUUUUUACAUGAUAUCCCAUGCACCAUGACCAUCUUUUAGGACACUAUAUACUUUCCAGUACUAUUGUUAUGUGUGUGUAUAUAUAUAUGCACACAAUGUGUAAGUAGCUAAGUUAUCGACAAACAAGUCUCUUGUCUUGCAUGAAUGGAACACUAUAUGUGACUACACGACACUCUUUUAAUAUAUAUGAAUUAAUUCCCUUGUUAUUUUACUCAAGUGUUGAUUCCCUAACUGUGGCCUGCUUUUGUUGUCUCCUUAGCUUUAUUUUAAAGUCUCUUUUGGGGGCUCAACACAUACUCUUAGAGGAGCCUUUUGGGACACUGCUUAUCAUCUAUAGGUUCAAUAGUGUUCUCCUGUACUGGUUGUUUGAGCUUCAUAAUUCUCUCUUAUAUUUGCUUGGCUCUACCACACACACUCCCCCCUCUCUCUCUCUCUCUCUCUCUCUCUCUCUCUCUCUCUCUCUACAUCCUUUUCUCACUCUCUCUCUUUCACCUGUUAAGGAUCGAUCAUGACCUAGAUCUAUUGCAAGAUGGUGUGAGGAAUGAGGCAGAGGCAUAAAUAUUUUGUUGGCCACAGUGGAAUGAAUUAAAUUCUCUUUGGUGGCAUAGUUNCUCUCUCUCUCUCUCUCUCUCUCUCUCUCUCUCUCUCUACAUCCUUUUCUCACUCUCUCUCUUUCACCUGUUAAGGAUCGAUCAUGACCUAGAUCUAUUGCAAGAUGGUGUGAGGAAUGAGGCAGAGGCAUAAAUAUUUUGUUGGCCACAGUGGAAUGAAUUAAAUUCUCUUUGGUGGCAUAGUUCCCUUAUAUAGCUUCUGUUGAUUUAGGAACCAUGUAGUUUGCUAUGUCAAGCUACAAUAUGUUUCUCUUUGGGACUUCAUCUAUAGAAGAACAUGCAGUGACCAACUUAUUCACAUGGCCAGAUCCUUACUGUACAUACAACAUUUUAAAAUACUCUUUUAUAUAUAUAUAUAUAUAUAUAUAUAUAUAUAUAUAUAUAUAUAUAUAUAUAGAGUGAGGCUACUAUGCUAUCGGAAGCACGGAGCCUUCCGUGCUUUCAGCUCGUUUUCGAUGUUGCGACUUUCGAAUCGUCAUCGGCUCCGUUAAACUUGAUCUAGAGUAUUUGAAGUACCUAGAAAAUAAAUUUUAUGAUUUUAAGAUAUCAUUUGCCUAGUGAACGAAGGGGCUCAAAAUCAACGGCUGAAAAUAAAAAUCUUACAAAAUGUAAUAAUAUGACAUUAAAAUUUUAAAUCAAAGAUAUUGAUCUUGUUUUAUAUAGUAUAAAGAAUUUUCUAAUCAAAAUUUCCGCUGAUUGAUAUUUCUACACCGUUAAACUGCAAAGCGGUUCACUACGGCCAUUGAAAUUUGUUGAUUUUGAGCCCAUCGAUUACUAGGCAAAUUAUACUCGAAAAAUAAUAAAUUUAUUUUCUAGGUACUCCAAAUACUCUAGAUCAAGUUUAACGGAGCGAUUGACGAUCGAAAGUCGCAACAUUGAAAAAAAUGGAAGCACGGAAGGCUCCGUGCUUCCGAUAGCAUAGUAGCCUCACUCUAUAUAUAAUAUAUAUAUAUAUAUAUAUAAUAUAUAUAUAUAUAUAGAAUUAUGCUGAAUACUAUUAAUAGUAAAACGCUCUUUUGCUAUCAGUUUUAACUCUUGGAUAAAAAAUGUAGGGUCAGGAUGAUAUUAUCAGUUAAGUUGAGUGGUUCCCCUAGGGUGAGUGGUCCUCACUGGGUUAGUAUUUAAUCCAAUGGUUAGAAAUAAUGAAAAGAGUUGAUUCAAAGGCUAAAAAACUGAUAACAAACAAUGGAAUUUUGCUAUAAUAUAGCCCCGAGUCCAAUCUAUAUAUAUAUAUAUAAGAGAGAGAGAGAGAGAGAGAGAGUUGAGAGAGAGAGUUGAGCUAGAAUAUUAUUGAUAGUAUCUAUUUUCUUUUGCUAUCAAAUUUUUAACUUUAGAUCAAUUCCUUUGAUCAUUUUUAACCAUUGGAUCUCUCUCUCUCUCUCUUUCUCUCUCUCUCUAUAUAUAUAUAUUAUUCUUCUUGACAGAAAUGGAUGUUUACAUAUUUUCCAACUGUGUGAUGUGAAUCAUGUUUGUGAUAAUGUGUUAUUGCCAAUGGUUCAUGUGAACAAGCACGUCUUGGGUCAAAUUUUGUUACCUCUUUAUUUAUCAUUUUUCUCUUUUUGGAAUUUAAAGAGGUAAAGUUCUUGGGAAGUUGUAAUGCAGGGUUGAUUUUUAGUUAUAUUCAUUUAAAAUAUCUGUAUAUAUAAGGCUAUAAGUAAUAUACUGUUAAUUUGAGUGCUUGUUUUAAUUUCUUAUGCUAUUAUGGCUUGGAAAUUCGAAGUACACACAUACAUAGAUAUUAUGAAAUAAUUGUUCUGGUAACCUCGAAUAAUAUAUACUCUUGACUCGCAUGUAUUUCAAUCAUUACAUUUUCUUGGGCCGUUGACUAUGCGUAAAAGUUUGAAGUUUAUUAAAUGUAAUUUUCAAAAAUUGACUCAUUGAACUAGGUUACCAAAAUAUAUAAAAUUGACUCGAGGAAUUAGGUUACCAAAAUAUACAACUUACAAGACAAUGCAAUCAAACCCUCUCCCUUCUUCAACUGGAUCUCAUGUUGUGAAAUAAGUAAUGAAUUUUACUUGCCAUUUGUGUUUGAGAAUGUGAAGAUCAACAUGAGAAUUAUGGUAGCAAUUGAACAUCUAAGGUCUCUUUUUUUUGCUUUUUUUUUUUCUUCUGAACUCAAAUUCUAAUGUGCUGGGUGUGGUGGUGAAAUUUUUUUUUUUUUUUUUGGCAAUCUAUUGAUUUAGGAUUUCUUUGGUAUCAAAAAGUAAAAACAUAUUAGUAACUUUUUUUCUCUUCUUUAAUUUUGGUAAAAGAAAAGUUGAUCAUCCAACACACUCAAUCGUAUGUGCAUAAUUUAUGUUAAAACGGGAAGAAAAAAAAUAUGUAUAGGCAAAUUAAGAGAGCCUAGUGUUCAUGCUUUGAUUAGUUUGACAAGAUAGAAAAUUACCGGCUGCCCCCUAGCUACUGCAAAUGCGAAAAGAUUUGAUGGUUGGUAUCUGAAGUUUUAAAUUCGAAGUCUAGAUAUUUUAAAUUUUUAGCUAAAUUUAUUUAUCUUAAUUAAAAAAAAAAAACUAAGCAGAUAUGAUGCUACAUUUUUCUCUGUAAAAAAAAGAAAACGACAAGAUAGAGAAUUUUAAUAAGCUAACAUAAGGUAAGCCAGUGUAGGCAUAUCUUAUAUUGCAUAAGAUUUAUAUUAAACCAAUCAAUAAAUUAAGUAAUGUGGCAUGGUGAAGAUCAAUUAAAGGCUAUAUGAUUACUUCAAAUUGAAAUGAUGUACAAAAAGGCUUGUUCUUAUAUUUUUAUUUAUGUAAAAGAGAAAUAUAUAAUUUAAUGUUAUUAAGUUUAGGAUCUAUUGAGUGAUACUACAAGCACAAGAAAACUAAAAACACUACAACAAAAACGGUCUAUAGUGACACUUUUAAAUGUCGGUACAUGUCAAAAAAAGUACUGUUGGCUAAAUUACCGACACUUUUAAAAAAUAUUGCUAUAUGUGGGGUCGCUAGGUAUAUAGUGACAAUUAAAGAGUGUCGCUAUAACCUAAAAAUAGUGCUGCUAAUUUAACAAUAUUUAUUUAAGCAUCUAGCAACCACCGGAACUCUACCUCGUUGGCUGCGGUGGCGGAGGUGGACGAGAGGAAAGGGCCCUUCGUCUAGGAUUUCAGUGGAAUGGGUGAGAGGAGAAGGAGAGAUGGUAAUCGAUCUUUUUUUAUUUUUUCUUUUCUGUUUAUAAUCGGGCCAAAUGGGCUGGGUUGGGUGGGUUGAGUAGAGUAACAUUUUAUUUUUUGUUGGAUUCGGUUUUAUAUUUAGACAUUAAUAGAUGUAUUUUAAAAUUUUGGUAGAAAUGAGACACUUAGGCAAAAGUGUCUCAAACAUGUGUCGCUAUAAUCUAAUUUUGUUGUAGUGAAAUGACAUGCGAAUUAAUUUCUACCGAACAAAAAGCAAUCAAAGAGUGAUUAGGAAAAUGAUUCAGUUUCACUUCACACAUUUUACUUUUGAAUAAUAAUAUGGUAUCAAAGCCAAUAUUAUGUCCCCAAUCUAUGAACGCCAUACAUACUUGCGAGGAAUUUGUGCUUUUAUAUAUUAUAAACUUUGCCACAAACCUUUUCUUGUAGAUCCUCUUAACAUUUUCCAAUAUUCUGGUUCUUAACAUUUUCCAAUAUUCUGGAUUGACUAUAAUAGGUUUGUUCGAUCAUUACAAAUUAAUCUACUGAGAUGGGAGUACGUAAUUCUGAAGGAUCAGAUUGGUGUUGAGAACUACCAAUACUAACAGCAAGAUCAAACCAAAAAAAAAGUAAAAAUUAUAUCUUAGUUGAACCAAUACGUUACACGCGACACGUAUAUUAUUAUAAUAAAGUGAUUAUUUUUUGUGUCACACUGUUUCAUCGUAUCUAACAACAGUCCUAUCGUAUGAAACGGACGUUUUGUCGCUCUCUUUUACAUCCAAAAAAUUCCAUGUUGCAAUAAUAAGCUUUAAAGAAAUCUCAUCCGCAAUAAAAUUGAGCUGCAGUGGCACCAAUUUCAUGUUAAAUGCUGAAUAAAUCUCAAGGUAAAUGUCAUAUCAAUCGUAUAUAUCACCAUCAUGGAAAAGUCGUGGGAGCAAGCUCUUUUCUAUACACUAUUAAUAGGUAAUAGGAGAAUAUUUAUAACGCAAUUAUGAAGUUUCCAAUCAUUGAAAUGGCUAUAGAAGGUACUAAAGGAAAAGGAAAAAAAAAAAAAAAAAGUGUCAUACCUCCCAAGUAGAAUAUUAGUGUCAAAAUAAAUGAUAAUUAAAGUUUUGACUUUUAUAUGUGUGAAACGUUUUAUAUUUAUCAAAUAAAUUUUUGGGUUUUGUUUGGGCCCUUUAAUAAGAUACCACAGGUUGGUCGAUCACACUUUCCAUGUGGUCUAGUUUCUUUUUUGUUUAGCUUUGUUUCAAUCUGAUUAAUUGCAUCCAGUUUUUAUCUGAUUUUGCCAGGUUCUUUGAACCCAGCUAUGUUGAGUUCUUUUAAGCCUUGUUUGAAUUCAUAAAUCUCUCAUUCAACUUAUAUCUUCUUAAUUUAUUCAACAAACUUGUAGCAUUUGCUGGACAAGAAAUGUGAUCAAACCUAUCGAAUAUAGUUAAGAUAAAUCAGUACCCUACAAUGUGAAAUACGCUUUCCGGCCAUAUCGUGAAUAUUAAAACCGUUCAACAAACAAAAAACAAGCUUCUUACUUCCAAUCACACACAGAAAAAAAAAAAAAAAAGAGUUCAUACCGAACAUUUUAUCAUUGAAUAACUUAUUAUGAUGUGGUCCCACUAUGUAUACAUACAAAAACUUUUUUCAUCUAGCAAUUUCUAAUAUUUUGGAUUAAGUACAUGCCCUUUAAUUAACCUUCAUAUUCAAACUUUUGGCCUUAGGAGACAUAGAAAUGGGAAAAAGCUAGUGUCAUAGUGUCAUACAUAUGAACUCAAUCCUUUAAUAUUACAUCUAAGUAGCUGAACAUUUAUUAAGAUCUAACCUAUUCAGAUUGAAUUUUCAACUCAUAAGUAACAAAUAGCACUUCUUCAAUUGCGUAAGGAUUCUCAAAGAAAAUUAAUUGCUAUACGAUCGUCGAUGUCAAGUUAGGUUUGCUCAUUAAUGUUGUUCAACACGCGCGCCCGUGCGCACACACACACACACGCAUCUUUCUAAUCAAACAAUUUUGACCGGCAGUUUCUUCGUUUAGUUGGUUUUUCAUUGAGUAAUGCUAUGCUUACAAACUAAUUUUAUAACACUUUACAAAUUAGCAUCAAAUUAUGCGGUUUGUGAAAUCUAAAAAUGCAUCUCCAUGUUGCUAGUUAAUUAAGUGGACAAAGUAAGUAUUUAAUGAAGUUAUUUAACUUCGUGGAACCUAAAUUUUCAGAUGUUAGAGAACAACAAAUUUUACAGGUACAACAUUGUGGUCUCUCAAGCGCUUUAAAUUAUCUUGGGCCUAUUGGGCCAUGAAACUGGUUGUGUCUAAUACUAUUACAAAAGGAUUAUUAAUAAUGAUGAGGAACUAAUCCUGGGCCAUGAUGGGCCUCUGAUGUCCCACUCUCUCAAAUUGGGCUAAGAAACUCCUCUACAUAUUAUAACAAAAACGGUCUAUAGCGACAAUUUUGAAUGUCGGUAUAAGUCAAAAAAAGUGCUGUUGGCUAAAUUACCGACACUUUUGAAAAGUGUUGCUAUAUGUGGGGUCGCUAGGUAUAUAGUGACAGUUAAAGAGUGUCGCUAUAACUUAAAAAAAAGUGCUGCUAAUUUACCAACACUUAUUUAGGCAUUUAGCAACCGCCGGAACUCUAUCUCGUUGGCUGUGGUGGUGGAGAAGGACGAGAGGGAAGGGCUCUUCGUCUAAAAUUUUAAUAGAUUGAGUGAGGGGAGAAGGGGAGAUGGUAAUCGAUUUUUCUAUUUUUUUUUUUUUAUUUGUAAUCGGGCCGAAUGGGCUGGGUAGGGUGGGUUGAGUAGAGUAACAUUUUAUUUUUGGUUGGAUUAGGCUUUAUAUUUAGGUGUUAGCAGAUUUUUUUAAAAAUUUAGGCAUAAAUGUGACACUUACACAAAAGUGUCCCAAACAUGUGUCCCUAUAAUCUAAUUCUGUUGUAGUGAGGUUUGGGUUAGUGGGCCCUCGAAAUGUUUGUGUUACAACUUUCGCGCAAGUAUAAAUAUCUUAUUUAGUAUAUCUAUUUAAUUUUUAAGUAGGCACCAUACUUUAUUUGAUUGAGACAAAGUGUAGUAAAAAUGCUUACGCCAGCUUUCGCGCGAGUAUAAAUAUCAUUUCAUUCUUUUUUUUUUUUGAAAAUUAACUCAGAUGGAAAUGUGAAAUAACUAGAUUUAGAAUUUGAGACCUCAGAUAAUAAUCACCAAAUACUUUGCCACUUGCACUAAAAAUACCCGGUGAAGCUUUGUAAUGUUCAAAAUCAAACUUCUAGACUGUAAUAACAAGUAGAAAUUUAAAAAGAAAAUCUUCAUAUGGCCCAAUGUAGCUCAUAUCUUAGCAGACCAGUACAUGGUAAAUUUUCAGCAUUAGUGACUAACAGUAAAACAUUUUGAAGUACUUAGUCAAAUACUUGUUUAAUCCAAACCCCCUAAUACCAGUGAUCUACCCAGCAUGUGAAGCCUAUGGGCAUGCCAGCACAUAAGCUAUUUAAAUUGUAAUCGAGAUACCAUGGAGUAUGCAUUAUAUAUAGUAAAAGAAUUUACUCUGUUUGCUUUUGUAAGAGAUAGAUAACACAUUGAAUAGAUUACAUUGAGUUGGUUGAAGGAGAAGCAUCUCUUCUCAUCUCAACCUUUUCUAAUUGAAAUCGACCGUUCCAAACGCAAGUGCCCAAAAGUUUGAUAGUUGGUAUCUGAGGUCUCAAAUUCAAAAUCUUGUUGCUUUAUAUUUUCAGCUAAAUUUAUUUCUAAAAAAAAUAAAUGAAACAGAUAAUAUACUAUCUUUCUCUUAAAAUAAAUAAGUAUCCUUGAAUAUCAAAGAUGCCCUUAAUAUUCUGUAAAAUUACACCGGAAGAGUUAUCCGUUUCAUGAUGUUAUUGAUUGUAUCAGGAUAAGGUUUUAUUUGUUCCCCUUGUUACAUGCAUCUAGAAGAACACCGAAAGCGCUUCAAAAGACAGCAUUAGCUACUCAACUGUUUUAGUAGUUGGUGGUUUAAUUUAGUAUUGUAAUAGACACAAAAAAGGAAAAGGACCAAUUACAGCAAAAAAACUGAAAGUUAAGGAAUCCUUUUACAGGGUCUUAAUUAACUAGCAUGAACAUACAGAUAUAUUAAAUCUAAUCAAGUUUGAUUAAUGUGAUAAUUCAAUUUAAUAAAUUUAUUUGUGGGAAUCAAAAUCUUACUUAGUCAAUAUAUAUAGCAUCAUCCGUUUGAAAACCCUGUGCACAAUGUAUUCUUUUCUUCUUGUGCUUGGUAAAGUAGUUUUGAAAUCUUUCACUCAUCAGAUAAAAGUUAAGGCAUCUAAUCUCACUUUUUUUUUUAUCCCUUUCUCUAUCUUUGUGGGGAAUCAGAUCCCCUAGUAGUGAUAUUGGGUGUGACAAAAAGCUUCAUGCCAACUAGCAAUAAAAAAAAGAGGAAAAUUUAAAUGUCAAAGCUAUUCUGAGAUUUCUUGAGGGGAAGGCAAUCUCAGCUUCUCUCUCUCUCUUUUUAAAGGAAGAAAAUAUAGCAAGGCAAAAUCAUAGAAUUUUCAGUCCUAAGGCACAAGGUUUUCUAAUUCUAUUCUAUUUUAGUAAACCCAUUACGCUAAAUUAGGAUUAUGCACAAUUCUAUUGAGAUUAUUUUUAAUUUUAUCAAAUUUUAUUAGUCACUAAUAUAAAUAUAUUUUAUUACAUUGAUUUGGUGUGGUGGAUCGAAAAGAAUGUGAGGGCUAUUUUGAAAUUAGGGAUUUGUGGGAGAAAUAUCUUUUGUACACCACUUUAGUUAUAAUAAUAAUAGUUUUCACCCUGUCUUCGUCCAUAAAUGUAAGCCAGUAGUCGAAUCACGUAAAUAUUUGUAUGCGUUACUUUUAUUCUCUCUUUUUCGAUUUUCUUUUGAUAUUUUUGCACUCGUUGAAUUAAAUUCUUUUCGCCUUUGUUGUCGUAAGUGUGACUACUAUAUUUGCUGGGCAAAAAGGUCAAGAUUUUAAAUUACGCUUCCUACGGAAUCAUAUACUUGCAUGUGGGCUGCAUCAUCCUUAAUUAAAAAAAAAAGAAAGAAAGAAAGAAAGAAAGAGAAGUGAAAAGGGGAUUGUUGAUUUCACGUAUAGGGUUGAUCUCCUGAUUCUCCUUAAAAGAAAUGCUCAAUAAAUCCUCCAUAAUGGACCAUUUUUAGAUGCAAACUUUAUUUUCCUUAUCAAUAUUUUUUUUUGAGAAAAAUAAAAGAAAAAUCUCAAUCUGCUUUAUUCAUUAUGGUAAUGAACAAACCACGUGCCAAAAAGAAUACAGGAAAAAAUAAAAAACACACUGACAUGCACGUAGUUUGGAAAAAAUUCUAAAAUGCAACGGGUAUAUUGGUGACGUGGUGUAACAAACCAAUCAAAUAUCUCCUUUUAGAAGUAUCUGUCCCAUCAUGAUUGUAAAAAAAUAUUUUUAUUGUACUUUUAUUUGAAAAGAAGGAAUGUGAUUGGCUUGUUAUUGAUGACGUGGUACAAGUGUGAUAGUGUAGAAUUCCUCGUAGUUUGGAACUGGUUGGCUUUCUCAUUAGGCUUCAAGCAAGCCAAAUAAAUCCUAAUAUUCUUUUCAUUCCAUGAUUAUUUUAAGUGGUUAUUGAACAUAUAUAUACAUACAUACCCACAAACCCUCUGCAUGCUAACUCAUGCAUAUAGAGCACUCUUGUAUCAAACAACAACACCUCAUCACCUCCUACAUUUUACUAAGGUUUUAGUUGUUUCUCUUCAUAUUCCUCAAUGGAAGCCCCCAAAACCACCCAGCCUCCGCCGGGUUCUCUCUCUCUCUCUCUCUCUCUCUCUCUCUCUCUCUCUCAUUAAUUUCUCCAACUUAUUUAUCCUAAAUAUAUAUGUAUAUACAUGUUGCAAGGCUACCCAACAAAACAGGAGAAGAAACAGUGCUGCCAAAGUUCAAAGAGUAGAGGAGAGGGAGGGUUCAUUGAAGGAUGGUAAGCUAAUUAUCAUUUGGUAGUUUUAUUUUUGAACUUAUGCAUGUAGUAAUAUUUUACUAGCCUGACCGAUUGUCCUUAGCGCAAGUGGCAAAGGAUUUGAUGGUUGGUAUCUGAGGUCUCAAGUUCGAAUCUUAGUUAAUUCACAUUUUCAACAAUCAAAAAAAAAAAAAAAUUUACUAGCCUGAAAUUUUAACCGACCGUAUCUAUAGCGCAGUUGAGUUAUUAAGAGUUUGACUCAAGUUUGAAACUUAGUUAAUUUACAUUUCUAACUAAGUUCAUCUCAAAGAAAUUUUUACUACAAAAGAAAAUGGUGUAGCUAUCAAUUGGAUUUUCUUCUGUUCUCACUUUAUAUGCACUGCUUAUUACAGAUUUAGCUCCACAAAGUUUGGCACAGAUUUUAGUUCAAUUCUCAGAGUAUCAAUCAACAUCUUUAGAUUUUUCAGCUUCCACUCGAAUUUUUUAUCUUGAUUUUAUUUUUGUAUAAAGUUCUGUUUCAUUUUUAACCUCACUAUGGGAGUUUCAGUUUUCACAAAGUCUAAUUAUGGUUCUACAGGAGUAUGAGGGUGCAUUUGGUUCGCAUUAUGAAAGAUUACUAGGAAUAAAAGAUAUCCGAGAAUUUUAUUCCUAUUCAUCCUAUUACUAAGAAUGUGAAAUUCCUGUGUUUGGUUCGCACGGUAAUAUUAAUUAGCCAUGUUAUUUAAUAUUACAAAAAAUAUAUAAUUAAUUUAUUUAUUUAUUUAAUUAAUUUUAGAUAAUAUUACCAAAAGUUUCAACAUCUUUUUAGAAAAAAGGGAGAGAAAGUAUAAGUUAGAGAGAGAGAGCAUAAUUAAAAAAAUAGAAAGAAAAAUAUAGUCAAAAUUAGAGGGAGUGAGAGAGUUGAAAUUUUAAAAAGAGAGAGAGAGAGAGAAAGCUUAGUUUAGAGAGAGAAAAAAAAUUGAAUUUUAGAGAGAAAAAUAAGUUUAGAGAGAGAUAUAAGGUUAGAGUGUAAAGAAAAGUAAUAUCAAUUAGUCUGCGGGUAGGAAGAAAGAAAUAGAUUAGAUAUAUUAUGAUUACCCCAAUCCAACCGACCCUCCUUCAAGGGAAUUAGAUUAGUACUUUGGGGUAAAUCUUAUUCCGAAGUGAAUCCAAUAUUACCAACUAGAUUAUACUUAGUGCGUUUAGCCAAACACCGUCAUAUUUUUUUAUUCCCAUUGGAUUACUAGGAAUCUUUAAAAGAUAGCGCGAACCAAAUGCACCAUGACAGUUAUCUCAGAUAGUAAACUAAAGGUUGACCAUAAUAUUUAUGCAGAACAAAUAAUUUCAUAAAUUAUAUUUUUACAGUUGACAACUGACACUAUAUAUGAGAAUGAAAUUGAACUUCAUGUCAAAUUACAAGGACCAGAUUUCUGAAUAACCAAUGCAAAUAUAGUACUGAAUUUUGAGUUAACUAUUGAGUGUUCUCGCAAAAAAAUUAGUUCUGAUUGCUGUUCAACUUAUGCAGCAUUGCUGCCCUUUGCUGCUGUUGGAUUUUUGAGAUGUGCUGCUACUGAGGAGCCUAUAUGAAGAUGCAAUAUGUUAUGAGUUGAAUGAGGAUCAAAUAUAAUAGUGUACUAAGCAGGGAGUACUUCUAUUAUAAUGGCUUGUACUACUUAUCUUGAUUCAGAAGGGUAAGGUUAGAAUUGUAACACUUUAAUUUCGGAUGAUAUACUAGCAAUACUUAAUUGAUUUAUUUAUAAUGUCCUUUAUAUUUUUCAAUGCUACAGCAAAGAUUAUAAUCGCUACAAUUUGUGGAGUUGGACUGGGCUACUAUUAGUAGCAAAAUCUCAUUGUUGCUACCAGUUUUUUAGCCUUUGGAUCAACUCUUUUCAUUUUUUCUAACCACUAGAUUAAAUAUUAUAACCCAAUGGGGACCACUCAACCCUAGGGGACCACUCAACUCUAACCGACUAAUAUCAUUCUGACCCUAUAAUUUUUCAUCCAAGAGUUAACAACUUGAUAGCAAAAAGAACGUUUUACUAUUAAUAGUAUUCCAGCCUAAUUCCAAUUUGUGAUUAUAUAAGUGCAAUCUUCGCCUUUUAAUUUUUAACAUGCUCUCUUCCUUACUCUCAAAAGACAAUGUACAUUCUUACAGAAUAAAUAGAGUAUUUACAGAGGAUCAGGUUACUGGAUAUUAUUUAUAGGACAGUUAUUUCAACAUUGUUAGGAUCGAGGGAAAAAAAAAAAAAGAUAAGAGAAAAAAAGAUAAAAUUUAAAAUGUAUAGAACUUACCUAAAUUAUCAAUCAUUUUGAUCUCACUAUUCAAUCUUUCAAAGCUUUUAAUUUUACCAUCCAAAUUUUUAAUUUUGUUUGAUUUGAAUCAGCCAGCAACACUUUGAUUUUAAAAUUGGAAUAUGUCGUUCAUCUUUACAGAUUUAGUUAAUAUAUUUCAUACAAUUCUCGCAAUUAUAAAUUUAUUAAAUAAAAUAAUUAACUGAAAUUUUAAAGUUAAAAUGUGACAUAAAUCAAAUAAAUAGAAACAUUUGACGGUAAAAUCAAAAUUUGAAAAAGAUUGAUUUACAUAAGUUUUGUAAUUUUUUUCUUUUUACCAAAGAAAAAUAACUAUUUCUACAUCCGUUCGUAUAAAAAUAAAAAAUAAAAUAAAAAACCCUUUACCUUAGCACGUGACGCAGCGUUCACUAUCAGGUCCACUCCCUGGCGUUGACUUGACCGUCUCCUCUCUCUCUCUCUCUCUCUCUCUCUCUCUCUCUGUCUCUCUCACUUCUCCCGCGUUUUCUCCUUCCAACCACACCAAAAUUAUCCACCACCACGAGUGAGGAGUGACGAGUGAGAGAGACGACCCCCUCUUCUUGACUCCCUCCAUUUGGCCCCGCCUCCCGAGUCCUGAGACGCUCUCCCGAAAGAGACAUCAUGCGUAUAUCCCCCUUCCUUGACCGCUUCCUCCUACGUCCAACCACAGCACUCCCACUCCGUCCUCAUCUCUAUCCCCCCACUCCCCCCUCUCAUACGCAUUCUCACAAACACCCGCCAUGCAACCCCAACCCCUCCUCUCCGACCUCUCCCAAUCCCUCUCCGAAACGCUCGCCGCUGCCUCCGCGGUCCCGCUCUUCGCGUCCUUGAUCGGGGGAUUGAACCCCGUUCUCCAAGCCAUUCAACAAUCGCAGCCCGAUGUCGGAACACUGGGCGCCGUGGAGUCCCUCGGCCCCGAGAUCCGCCGCGCCCGCGCCGUGGUGCGCGGCUGCGGCGCGUCGGCGGUGCGCGCCCGGUUGCUCGAGGACGCCGCGCGCGGCGUCGGGCGCGGCCUCGGCCGCGUGAUCGAGGCGUGGGCGGAGGCGCCGGCGGAGAUGAGGGCGGAGAUGGAGCGGCUGAGGAAGGAGAUGCUGGAUGUGAGAUUCGGUGAUCAGCUGAAAGGGAAGCAGGGGGAGAUUGUUGCCGACGCCGACGACUUGAUGGUGAGGAUCAAGAAUGGGGAUGAGGACGAGCUCGGCGUUGUGCUUUCGGAGAUUGGGAUUUUGAUGGAAGAGGGGUUUUUGGUGGUGGGAGAAGGCGGGAGCUUGAUUCCGGCCUUGUUGAAUCGAUUGGGUUCGGCGAAUUGUGGCAACAGAGUGAAGAUAAUCUCGGCUUUGAGAAGUCUUGCAGCCCGCGGCAAUGAUAACAAGGUGAUGAUUUUGGAAAAUUUAGUUUAUCAGUUCAUCUUCUAGCCGUAAAAUUUGAUCCAUGCAUGUGAAGCACCAUUAACUCUUGUAUGAUUAUUCUUCACUAGAUUAUAAAUUUAGUAAUGAUAAUUCAAAGGAAGGGUCAAAAUUGAAAGUUUUAAGCGAAUUCGAAACUUAAGCUAUGGUUUUAAAACGCCUGCUGUAAUUUGCCCUAAAAUGCUCUAGUUUAUGAGCUCAUUAUGCGCCUUUCAGUGUUUUGUAACGAAUUAAUGAGCAAGCAAGUUAAAAUCGAUAAAAACCAGCUCAUGUAAUCUUCCUAAGCUUGGAAGUUCGUUCUUUACUCGGUGUGCUGAUGUUCCCUGUUUUGCAUCCUUAGGAGAAAAUGGCAAGUGUUGAUGCACUUUCGAUUAUUGUGAGGUCUUUGGCGAGAUGUACCGAGGAGAGGAGGGAAGCGGUGGGAUUGCUUUUGGAUAUAUCGGACAUCUUGAAAGUCCGGCAGAGAAUAGGUCGAAUCAAGGGAUCUAUUCUUAUGUUGGUCGCACUACAAAAUGGAGAUGACCCGCGUGCUAAGGAUGAUGCAGGAAAGUUGUUACAUGCUUUAUCGGCCAACACACAAAAUGUUCUUCUGAUGGCGGAGGCUGGUUGUUUUGUACCGAUGAUGCACCAUCUUAGAGAAGGUAAUGCCAUUUUUUAUGCUGCCUACUGGACUUUAGCAUGCGUUAUAUCUUGGAGUUCUAAUCAUGUUAUAACAUUCUUGAGCAAGGAUAUUGCUACGCGCCAUUUUCCAUGUCAAAAGCACAUGUUUUAAUUUUGACUCAUUAGGCUGUCCUAACGAAUAAAGAACUCUCCAAUCCUGUUAUGCACCUUUAGAAUAUAACAUGAUCAUUAGGAAUAUAAUAAAUCAUCAAGGCCUGUGAUGAAAAGCACUUGAGGAAAUGAUCCAACUCUCUUCUAAUCGACUGAAUUGCUCCGUAGAGCUUUUGGAUUUAGGCUUAUAGCCUCGAACUUUUCUCCACCUCAGCAGAACUUAAAGAUGAAAUAUUCUUUCAUUCUGCGUCAUGUUAGCUUUCAGAUGAUAUCAUGGAUAAGGUAUUGCGUUGGUAUUCUUGCACCAUUUCUCUGUCUCUUAUUUGUAAUCCUUGCUUUCUCCCUAUUAGUGUAUCAGCCUUACUUUCAUCUGUACCACUGCUUAGGCAUGGAUUCACCGUUCUUGGUAUGUAGCGGACCUUCAUUUCUGUACAACAUAUCAAGAAGAUGGUGUUCAUAGCUACCAUAGUUUCUCUGAUUAGACUUCUUUAUUUUCCAAAUUAAUAGCACACAAUACCUCUAACCAUAUUGAUGCUUUUGGAUAUAGAUAUUUUGCCAUCAAUUUAACAUUCCUUGACAAACGCUACCCGGCUUACGCCUUAAAAACACCUAUUUCUCAACAAACAGUCAUCUCAGGAAGUUCAUUGACAUCUUCUGUUUAAGCAGAAUUAAAGGAAUUCAGUUCUGUAACCAAGUAUCGUUCUCUUGAUCAGGUGUCUUUCUGAAAUGAUUAUGGCGUUCAAUAAUUUCGUUUUGUUUCUCCAGAGUUUCCUGCUUUAUAUUUGAUGAAUAUGAUUGGUCGUUCUGCCACAGGUUCUGAUAUGAACAAGAUUCUCAUGGCGACGGCCAUUUCGAGGAUGUUACUCACGGAACAAAUGAAAGCCGUGCUUGGAGAAGGCUCAAUCGAACCCCUGGUGAAAAUGUUCACUUAUGGGAAGCUCGAAGCUAAGCAAGCCGCACUGGGCGCCAUUCGCAACCUCUCUACCUUGGCAGAAAAUACAGAACUCUUGAUAAAUUGUGAUGUAAUCUCACCGCUAUUUCAAGUUCUUUUCUCCGUUACAUCAGUGCUCAUGACACUUCGAGAACCCGCUGCAGCACUACUAUCAACUCUAGCGAAAUCCGAACUAAUCCUUCACCAUAGAAAUGUGGCUCAGCAAAUUCUCUCACUUCUCAACUUAUUGAAUCCAGCUAUCCAGCUUCACCUUUUACACGCUCUCAAUAGCAUAGUGAGUCAUUCUACUGCGAAAAGAGUCAGAGCUAAACUUAGAGAAAAUGGUGUCAUGCAGCUUCUCCAACCAUUCCUAACAGAAAGCAAUUCGGAAAUUAGGGCUGUCUCAUUGAAUCUAAUAUUCAAUCUGUCAAAAGAUUCCACACAAGAGUUGACUCAACAGCUUGGGGAGUCCAAUGUCAACAUCUUGAUAAGGAUUAUCUUCUCAUCAACAUCCGAGAGCGAAAAGGCUGCCGCCAUCGGAAUUCUUAGUAAUCUACCGGUGAAGGACAAAAGGGCAACUGAAUUUCUUAAUAAAGCGAAUUUGCUUCCACUUGUAAUCUCUUUAUUAGGGACAAGCAUAAGUUCUUCUUCAACACCACCUACAAGGAAAUGGUUACUUGAGAAUAUUUCUGGGUUAUUGAUUCGGUUCACCAUUCCCUGGGAUAAGAAACUACAGAGUACAGCAGUUUCUCAGGGAGUGAUCGGUUGCCUUCGCAAGCUACUCUCAGAUGGAUCGAUAAUUGCCAAGUCCCGAGCAGCAACUUCAUUGGCUCAGCUCUCGCAGAACUCGCUCACUUUGUGCAAGGCCAAGUCACCAAAAUGGUUGUGUGUAUCCCCUUCCUCUGAAACUUAUUGCGAGGUUCACAAUGGUCAUUGCACUGUCAAAAGCACUUUCUGCUUAUGUAAGGCCGGUAUCGUAAGUCCUUUAAUACAAGUGUUAGAGGGCAAGGAGCGAGAAGCAGAUAUUGAGGUUCUAGAAGCUCUGGGUACUCUAAUGCAAGACGAGAUGUGGGAAAGGGGAAGCAAAGUUAUCGAGAAAGCGUCCGGAGUGCCGGCUCUUCUGCGCGUCCUUGAAGAGGGUAAUUUGAAGGCUCAAGAGAAGGCAAUAUGGAUGCUCGAGAGGAUCUUUCGGCUUGAAAUUUACAGAGAAAUGUACGCCGGAGCUUCUCAGGCUCUGCUUAUUGAUCUCACGCAGAGGGGAGAUCCGAUCCUGAGACCGAUGAUUGCUAAAAUAUUGGCUCACCUCCAACUGUUGCAGAUGCAAUCUAGCUACUUUUCAGAUGUCUUAAUUUUGUCAUAGGAAGAAGAUCUUGUACAGUGUUAAGCGGAAAUCUUUUUCGAUGCAAUUCUGAAUUUGUCUUUCAAGUCCUUAAAGGAGCCAAGGUUGUUAUUUUAUUGUAGAGGUCAGUUGUUAAUUUCAAGUUCUUUUGUACCUGUAUUGAUAAUUUUAUUGUAAAGUUUGUGUAGUGUAUGUUUGGUCCCAUUUUUAACAGCUUAUUCAAUUCAGAAAGGCCAUACCUAACACAAGGAGCUUUAGAGGAGAUACACCCAACACAAUCCCAUCUGGUUACCUGGAAAAAUUUUAAUUAAUAAAUCACCUGAAAAGUAACCUGACCUAUCAAACCAUUGAAUUUGGGUGACAAUCUUCAACCCAUAUUUUUUAAAUUCUUAAAAAUAUGCUGCUACAAAAUCCACACAAAUGGCUGAUAAAAUGAAGUACUAUAUAUUAUAUUACAAAUAGAGGAGACGGACUUCUUGUGAUCUUUUUUUCUUUUCAAAAUACCUUUUUUUCUUAUAUAUAGAAUUAAGGAGGAUACGGGGACGCUAUACUAUGCAUAGGGUGAAAACAAUUUUGUGUACAUUUUUUUUUUUUUUUGUAUAAUUCUUAUAUUUAAUUGCUCUUGUCUCUUGAUUGCAUACAAGUAUUUGUUUUACGAUUUUAUAUAUUCUAUUUAAAAUGUUCAAAUUGACAUCAUACAAUUCAAGUUAAAGGAGUUGUUAAAAAUAUUGACAGAGUUGUGCAAUCAAUCAUAGUAAAUUCUAAAAAUAUAUAAGUACAUAAAAACAACCAAACCUAAAUAGCGAAAAAAAAAAAGAAGCUUUUAUAUUGUAGUGAAACAAGCUACUAUUCAUUUCUUAGUUCUUACCCUUUUUGUCAUUCUAUUAUCAUCCGCCAUCAGUUUUUCAACUUAAAUUUUUCCACAAAAAUUACUAUUUAUUUAAGUUUACGUGAAGCUUAAUAUCCAACAACAACGUAGAUCCAAAUUUUAAUAUCCAUAAUAAUAUUUCAAUUAACCUAUAACUCGAACUGAAAAACUGUUCUCAAAAAAAGAAAAACUGUUCUCCAAAAUUUAGUUCCGGUUCACCCAGUUUCAGAUCCCCCCGAACCGAACCGUAAUCGUCCCAUUACCCGGACCGGUUCCACCUUAAAAGUUAAAACCCAUCUGAAACCCAUUCUCGCGUCGCUCCCUUGGCCUGAAGCUACUAUGUACAUGGCGGCGGCGGCGGCGGUGGUUCCUCCGUCGGGGGAGGCGGCGGCGUUCAAGCUAGGGUUUAUCGGGGCGGGGAAUCUGGCGGAGAGCAUCGCCAGGGGCGUCGCCAAGUCCUCCGUGCUGCCCCCCUCCAGCAUCCGCACCGCCCACCGCCGCCCCGACCGCCGCGCCGUCUUCCAAUCCUUCGGCGUCCGCAUCUUCGACUCCAACGCCCAGGCUCAUACUUUCUUCCCUCCUCCCUAUUCCUCCCCCUACUUCUGCCCCCGUGACUUUCAGCUAACAACAAAUUUUUGUUGUUUACAGGUAGUCGACGACAGCGAUGUCGUUAUUAUCUCCGUGAAACCCCAAGCCGGUAAGGUUUCCCGUUUUACUCUGUGUUGUUGUUAGACCGAUCAAUGAUUGAGUAAUUUUCUCAGAUUCUAUUUUCACUUUCUCCGGCGAAAGCUUACGUGUGUUAAUUGUUGAAUUUGCAGUUAAACAUGUUCUUCUGGAACUAAGGCCCUUCUUUACAGAAGAGAAACUUCUAGUUUCAAUUGCUGCAGGAAUCAAAAUGAAAGAUUUGCAGGUUGGUAUUAAACUGGCACGCUUCUAUAUGCUGUUUUUCAUGUUCCCGGGUCAUAAAUCCAUUUUCCUUGUGACUUAGAUCUAUUGCACAGCUUCAUUAAAUUGCAUUCCAUUCAUGUAUAACUGUGAAAUAAAGAGUUAGAAUCAAGUUAUUGGCGAUCAAGCGAACAUCUGGCUUAAAGAGUGUCCUAACUUGUUGUUUAUUUGUAGUUUCAAUAAAAAUGUUCAAUUCAAAGCCAAAAUCUGACAAUCCUACCGAUGUCCUGUAUAAUAGAUCACGAUUUAAAGUCUCUUUUGGCAUGAAUUUUAGUGCAUGAUAUUGUGAAUUUCAAAAUGAAAGGACAGCGAGAAGUUAUAAACUGUCAGAUGAAGUGGUAAUUAUUUAAUUCUGCUUUUGCUUAGAGUAAACUUGUGUCAUAGCAGAAUUUCAUUUUUUUUUUUUUUUUAAAGGAAUAAAAUGGAGGCAAUCUUUCAUUGCUGAUGUAUGCUUUACCAUUCUAUAGGAAACUUCCAUGGAGUUGUAUGGAAAUUCCAGCUUUUAAACUUCUCCAACUUUGAGAUAACCUCUAAAAACAAGCGUACGAAUGCUGAUGGAUAUGCUCUUAGCUUAUAAUAAGGAAUAAAUACUUAUGAGGAAUAAAAUAAGAUUGAUAGUACUACCGAUGUUAGAGAAGUAUGAGGUGGGAGAGUCAUACUAAAGCAGCAAAGUGCACUAAUAACUAGUGCAAUGUAUAUAUAUAAACAUAUAUAUAGGUGACUGUAGCUAUAGAUGCUAAGAUUAGAUGAUCGAAGAAUUAUCCUGAUAGCAUUGAAUGGAUAAAUUGUUUGGCAUAGAAGCUGAAAUCGUAUUAUUAGGUUUGCAAUUACCAAACUUUUGAUCGGUAGUGUAUUUCUAUAUACUUCUGUUAACAUCUCCACUGUUUCCUUUAACUGUGCAUCAUUUGCUUCAGGAAUGGUCUGGUCAGCGUCGGUUAAUUAGGGUAAUGCCAAAUACUCCUUCAGCAGUAGGUCAAGCAGCAUCAGGUGAUAGUUGACUACUUGAUUUUUCUCUUUAUGUAGUCUUACAAGAUAACUCUCUUCAUUCAUCAAAUCAAUGAACAAUUGAAGAUUGAAAUGUGCUAAACACUUCCACAUAUGUCAAGACUCUGUCACAUCUUUAUUGGGAGCAUAAUUUCAGUUCUGAAAGUUCUUCUUAAAAGCCUACUUGACAUGAGGCAGGCGCUUAGCUUCAGUAUUCUUACCCAUAUGUUGCAUGCUUUUUUUCUUUUUUUUUUUCUUUUUAGUUUUGUUCAUUGAGAAUCUGUGAACUGGAAGAGGAUUAAUUGGUCUUUUUUAUCUUUGCUUUACUAGUAACUUUCAACAAAAAUAUUGUGCUACAAGUGCUGAUACCAUAGCUUCUAUCGUAGUCAUGUGCAUGGGCGAAAUGGCAACAAAGAAAGAUGAAGAACGUGUAGCUAGUUUGUUCAGUGCAAUUGGAAGGGUAUGGAAAGCUGAUGAAAAAUAUUUUGACGCUAUAACUGGCUUGAGGUACAAUCUAUAUAUCAGCCUUGCGCAGUUUGUACCGUGCUUUUCUAAUGUUUAGUGAUUUCGUGAUAAUUAGAUGAUUAGCAUUUUCUACUCGUAUGCUUGACUUGUAGUUUCCUCUGAAUUGCAGCGGUAGUGGCCCUGCUUACGUAUAUCUGGCAAUAGAGGCGCUGGCUGAUGGUGGGGUGGCUGCUGGUCUUCCUCGAGAUCUUGCUCUUGGUCUAGCUACUCAGACAGUAUGUACGAGAACUUUGAGUAUACCUGUCGUUAGAUUCAGCUGCAGUGUCUGAUUAAACAAGUGUAUAUUUGAUGGUGCUCUUAUUGUAUUAACAAUGUCUUUUGAUUCAUUUAGAGUCUCUGAUAAUUCCAUUUCUCUCCUGUGCAGGUUCUUGGAGCUGCAGCCAUGGUAGGCGGAACCGGAAAGCAUCCUGGUCAACUGAAAGAUGAGGUCACAUCUCCAGCUGGAACUACGAUAGCUGGGAUUCAGGAACUGGAGAGGGGUGCAUUCCGCGGUACAUUGAUAAACGCCGUUGUUGCUGCCACAAAACGGUGUCGAGAACUUUCUCAAACAUAGCUCUACUAUAUCCUUAUUGGCCUCUCUAAGUAGCAACAAUUCAUACAACUGGGAUUCGGAGUUAUUUUAUGUUCUGUUAAGUUUGGGAUAUCAGUUAACUUCAAAGGUAGCUCUAACUUUUUGUUGCCGGAAGUGCCGCAAAGGCAAUGGUUAAGCAGUGGUAUAAGAGCAAACCCUGCAGUUCUGGUGUUACAUGCGCUGAUCAAGCUCUAUUCAAGCUUGCAGCAUUUACCAAUGUUUAUUUAUUCUUUGACUGCUUGGUCUCUGCACUGAUUUAUUUAUUGUCAUGAUUUUCAACGUUCCCUCUUAAAUCUUGUUCUUUCAAAACGAUCGACCGAAAAAAAAUACUGUAUAGUGUAUACUAUAGUAUUAUCUUUCUCGUAACUACUGAACUGAUAUAUUUUCUUUCUUAGAUAUUUUAAAAUUUUUUACUGCAUGCAGUACUUUAACUGCAGCAACAAACAACACAUCCACAUUUCGCCCAACACAGAACCAUUGACGAUGCGUAACCAAACAUACCUAAACUACAUGCGAACUCUACAUCACAUUUUAGAGAUCUAAUCUGUGUGAGAUUAGAGAAAAA